rnacentral:lncRNA from 1 species
AAUGGCCUCUAUUGAUUUCUUCCUUGGCAUUUUUGCUCAUAGCCACUACUGCCACGGCUGCUUAUGAGCCUUACAUUUAUGCCUCACCACCUCCACCGCCUUACUAUUACAAGUCACCACCACCACCAGAAUAUUCUCCACCACCACCUUACUACUACAAAUCUCCACCACCACCUGAGAAGUCUCCCCCGCCACCUUACUACUAUCACUCACCACCUCCUCCUAAGAAGUCACCCCCACCACCUUACUACUAUAAGUCUCCGCCUCCGCCGAAGGAAUAUCCCCCACCACCUUACUACUACAAGUCUCCGCCACCACCGGAGAAGUAUACCCCGCCACCUUACUACUACAAGUCUCCGCCCCCACCCGAGAAGUAUACCCCGCCACCUUACUACUACAAGUCACCGCCCCCUCCGCCACCUUACUACUACAAGUCUCCGCCACCACCGGAGAAGUAUACCCCGCCACCUUACUACUACAAGUCACCGCCCCCACCCGAGAAGUAUACCCCGCCACCUUACUACUACAAGUCACCGCCCCCACCGGAGAAGUAUCCCCCUCCACCUUACUACUACAAGUCACCGCCCCCACCGGAGAAGUAUCCCCCUCCACCUUACUACUACAAGUCACCGCCCCCACCAGAGAAGUAUCCCCCUCCACCUUACUACUACAAGUCACCGCCCCCACCAGAGAAGUAUCCCCCUCCACCUUACUACUACAAGUCACCGCCCCCACCAGAGAAGUAUCCCCCUCCACCUUACUACUACAAGUCACCACCGCCACCAGAGAAGUAUCCCCCUCCACCUUACUACUACAAGUCACCACCGCCACCACCUUAUUAUUAGAAGUCUCCUCCACCUCCCUCUCCAUCUCCACCCCCUCCAUACUACUAUAAGUCGCCACCUCCUCCUUCUCCAUCUCCACCCCCACCGUACUAAUAUUUGUCUCCUCCACCUCCUAAAGGCUACUAAAUAUACAAUGUGUUGUUGAAACAUGUGUGAUCUUAGUUAUGUAAGAAUAAGUGUAAGUUUGUAAGCUUGUUCUAUUUCUGAUUUUUUCUUCAUCAAUGUUUUUGUGAAUAAAAGGAUUUGAGAUGGUAAAUCCAUUUGUAAGAAGUGCUGCUCAUUUUCGUUGUAAAAGUUAUUGUAAGCAAUAAGAUCUCGUAAUUUAAGGUUUCAUAAAAGUUAUAUGUGCAACUACUUUCAAUUUCCAUUGUCAUCUUUUUCACAACCACCAAGCGUAUUACUUCUUUAUAGAUGGAAAAUGCAGAGGCAAGCUUAUUAUUCUUUAAUAUUACCAUUCUUGAUGUGUUUGUUUAUUUAGUUGAAACGGUAAAUAAAAUGUACAUGAAGUACCGCACUGCAUCCAAAUUAAAUUUAGGAUAUAGACUAAGUUCAUGUAAUCUCAAUUUUGUCACAUUAUUAUUGGAUUUUAUAUAAAUAGCUAAUUUCUUUUCCUUCCGAAUUUCGACGGGAAGGAGAAUUUAUUAAGUAAUACAGAGAAGUGCACCUAGUAAUAUUUAAAGAGGAUAUAAUGAGCACUACCUUUCAUGAUGAUAAUGCCCAUGAACAAGUAAGAGAAGCUUAGAGUUUUAUUCCUACUCAAAUCAGAUUCUACGGAGGAGUUAUAUUCGUACCUUUUUAACGCUUUACAUAUAUGAUUAGAGAAUUAUGAGGACAUAAAUUCCGCUAUAAAUUUGUUGUUAUAUUUAGAGGAGUUUACAUGACUGGAGAAUUAUACACACAUAAAUUCUUUGAUGUCCAUUUUAAAUUAUAUUCCAAAAGGGAAAAUGUUUUCCGUUUAUGGUUUAAAAAUAGAAGCUUUGUGCUUUUUUUUUUUAAAAAAAAAAUCUAGAUCAUUCAGUGAAUAUUGGUUGUUAAUUUACUGCCAAAAUACUCGUAAGUUUAUUUAUUUAUUCUGUAAUGCAACUUUUGGGAUACAUAAUAAUCAUAUAAAUAAAUAAACUAUAUUGUAAUAUAUUUCAAUUAACUUGUUGACUUGUAUGAAAAGAGCGUGUCAUUACCUUUUAUGCCUAAUUAAAUUUACAAUUUUAGUCCCUAUGAUUUUUUUUUUUCAAUCAUUAAUUCCAUGCUCUUAUGAGUAGAAACAUAUGUAGAAUUUUGAUAUUUAAGAGUUGGUGGAGUUUCUAUGAUAUUUUGUACCUGUGGCUCAUCAUUUCACCACGGUGGGCAACUUCAUGGAUUUUGUCCUCUAAAAGGUAGCACUCUAACUUAAGAUGCCAUGUUCUUCAGAAAGUUAUCAAAUAGUUGAAUAGUUAUAUUAAGUUUAUUAUUGAUAAGAAUCUUAAUUAACUAGAUAUAGUACUUAAUAUACAAUGUUUUAUUCGUGAAAUUGUUGAACUAUUUUCACCAUUUUUCAAUGUCAUUUUCAGGAUGAGCUAUCAUUUGGAAUUUCAUUUUCUAUGGACUCUCACUUUUUCCCAUAACCACUUUUUUUGUUUAUAUUUUAUCAGAUUAAUUAUUCCUUGUUUGUUUAGAAGGAGCUUUCAUAUUGGAGAAAUACAUUACGUAUCUUAUAAAUCUAUGCAUCUUUACCUUUUUUUUUCCCAAAAUAAUUAAAAAAAAAAAAACCUCACCAAUGACCAAUCCAAUGUUCAAUAUGAAAAGUUUGAAGAAAAAAUGGUGUGAACUAAAACAAAAUAUAUAAUUUUGUCACAAUCCAAGAAAAAAAAAUCAUUAUAAAAUAUAAUUAAGAGGUAGCCACCUUCUCUACAUCAAUUUGUCACAAAACUAUAUCAGUGAGAUAUAUGCAAGACUCACCCAUUGGUACAAAAGAAAAUGAUCAAAGUGGAAGCAAAAAUGUGGUGAUAAUUUAGAUGAUCUCCACUCCCCAUUUAGUUUCAUUUAUUAAGUUAAUGUUUAAUCAAGAGUCUAAUUACUCAUUUUAUUAUGUUAUUAAUCAACUGCCGCCCCUUCCACUGGUUCAUUAUUUUUUAUGGAAUACAAAAAACAGACAAUAAUAUUCUUUGACAUAGCUAGGAAUAUAGCCCACUUGCAAGAGACUUACAUUCCAUCGCUCCCUAAUUUCCCGUGUAACAUCUUAUCUUGCAUCACAUCAGAGACGUGUUCGUUUGCACAGCCAUUUCGUGAAUAUAAAAUUGCUGCCGAAUAAGCAUCUAAUCAAAAGAAUUUGUCAACGGUAUAAAUUAAAAUAUAAAAAACGAGUAAAAGAAUUUGUCAAUAGGAUAUGGGAGGCCAUGGCUUCAAUCGGUUUGUGCAAUGGUCAAUGGCAUAUUUUUGCUCAUCGUCACCACUGAAUCCACUGAUCAUUUGUGCAUGUGAGUUGUUUUUGAGCAUUUAUUUUUCCCUUUAGAAGCAUAAGGAUAAGGCUAGUCUUCUUUUUGGGAGGACUUAUUGCUUCCAUUCGUUAAAAUUGGGCAUGUAAAAUGUCAAGAAAAAAUGGCCUAAGUGGCUAGCUAGAUGAUAUAAUGGAUGGUUACUACUCAAACCUAGCAAUAAAUGAAUGUCCGACAAGCAUUCAAAUGAAUGAAUAAAACCAAUCAGAUUAGAAUAUCUAUUUAUGAUAGAUUAAUGAAAAUACGAUUCAAAUAUAAGGUAAAUAAUCUCUCCAUUAAUUUUUUAUUGUUUCAGGCAGGGUUGCCAAGCCUCUGUCCGGGCUUCUAUAAGCUCAAUUCCAGCUCUCCUAUAUGAUUGAAUUAGAUCGGGCUAGGCCCUCGGACUUUUUAAUUAAAAAAGGUCGAUUUUUAAGUUUAUGAAGUUAAUACACUCACGCUUAUACUUUAAUAUUUUUAUUAUUUGGCUUUUAGAAUAUUAACGUGUAAAUUACUUUUUUUUUUCAAGUGAAAUAAUUAUCACAUUUUGUCUUCUUAGUAUAUAUUUCUACCUUUUUGUUCCUAUAGAUAUUUCCUCAUUUCAUCUUUGGUACUAGAGCGUAGUAAAAAAACACAUGAUUAAAGAUAAAUAUGACAUUUUAACUAACAAAUUAAUUAUUUGUAUCUAAGAUCUAGCUCUAGUGGUAAAGAUCAAUUUUCAUCGAAUUCAAGUCUUGGGUUUGAAUUUAAAUGCAUGGGUAAGUUAAUAAUAAUAAUAAUAAUAAUAAUAAUAAUAAUAAUAUCAAAUUAACUAGCUUUAAUUUGCAAAGGUCUUAGAUAAUCAAUUCGCUUGUAAAAAUAUCAAAAUUUUUUUUAAUCAAUGAAAUUUUCAAGUCUCUAGUUUUAGCACAAGGAAUGAAUUAAAAGAGUAAUGAUAAAUAUUUUACAAUUUUAUCCCAAAUGAUAAGACAUGUCAUGUGUCAUGUAUUAAGUGAUUGAUGAUUUUUUUAUAAAUUUUAAGUGGAUGAAAUAUAUUAUUUCACCAACCAGUAAAUGAAUAUGACAUCAUUUGAGAAGGAAUUUUAUGGUACAAUUUUGAAAUAUUUAUCACUACUCAAUUAUAUACAGUAUAAAAAAUCUAAUAGGGACCAAAAAUAUAAAAACAGAUUAAGAAUAAAAAAUAUAAAAGUCAAUUCCUAAUUAGGAGAAUGAAAGUGUCAUUCCCCUGUAAUCAUUUCACUAGAUAUUAUGUAAAUAUAUUAAGGCAAAAUUUUAAUAGAAAAUUGGUACCCAAACCUAACGUCUUUGACAUUGCUGCCAAGAUCACUCACAACUUACAAGAAUAAAAAAUUGGUAUUAAAUUUAUUAAUGUUCUCAAGGAAUUUUUAGCUUGACUUUACAUUUCUCGGACCCAUUUGUCACAUAACACCUUAGUUCGUUAACAAAGCCCUUUCAUGAGAAUAUUAGAACUGCUGUCGAAUAAGCAUCUUAACAACCCCUUUUUGACAUACAUGCAUGCCUCCUUCUGUGAACAAUUUGAAACAUAAAAUAAAAUUUCAAUCGAUGUGAGGGUUGGAGUAUUUUAUAGCUUUUGACCUCAUUAAUUAUGAGUAAGAGAAUAUUUCUACGUCACUAAUGGUUAAAAUGAUCACUAUAUAAAGGGUAGCAAAGUAUGUUUAACAUCAAGUCAGAAAACACAAUUUUUAGGAAAUGGGAACUCGGGGACAAGCGAGGCAAUGGCCUCAAUUGUUUUGUGCUAUAGCAUUUUUGCUUAUAACCACCACCACCAAGGCAUCGGCUGAUGAUUAUGCCUCAGCACCACCACCAAAGUAUUCUUCUCCACCUCCUUACUACUACAAAUCACCACCUCCUCCUUCUCCCUCUCCACCUCCACCAUAUUAUUACAAGUCUCCCCCACCACCAUCUCCGUCUCCUCCACCACCUUACUACUACAAGUCACCACCACCACCAGUGCAUUCUCCCCCGCCACCUUAUUACUACAAAUCUCCGCCGCCACCAAAGUAUUCUCCCCCGCCACCUUAUUACUACAAAUCUCCACCGCCACCAAAGCAUUCUCCCCCACCACCUUACUACUACAAAUCUCCACCGCCACCAAAGCAUUCUCCUCCACCACCUUACUACUACAAAUCUCCACCACCACCAAAACACACCUUACUAUUAUAAAUCACCACCUCCACCAAUGAAGUCUCCACCUCCGCCAUAUUACUAUAAAUCACCACCACCACCAAAGCAUUCUCCCCCGCCACCUUACUACUACAAGUCUCCACCACCACCAAAACAUUCCCCACCACCACCUUACUACUAUAAGUCACCGCCUCCACCAGUAAAGUCUCCACCACCGCCCCCAAAGCAUUCUCCCCCACCACCUUAUUAUUACAAAUCACCACCUCCACCAGUGAAGUCUCCACCUCCGCCACCUUACUAUAAAUCACCACCACCUCCAAAGCAUUCUCCCCCUCCACCUUACUAUUAUAAAUCACCACCUCCACCAAUGAAGUCUCCACCUCCGCCAUAUUACUAUAAAUCACCACCACCACCAAAGCAUUCUCCCCCGCCACCUUACUAUUAUAGAUCUCCACCACCACCAAAGCAUUCUCCCCCACCACCUUACUACUAUAAGUCACCACCUCCACCGAAGAAAUCCCCACCUCCACCAUAUUAUUAUAAGUCGCCACCACCACCAAAGCAUUCUCCCCCACCUCCUUAUUAUUACAAAUCUCCACCACCACCAAAGUAUUCUCCACCACCACCUUACUAAUACAAAUCUCCACCAACGCUAUCUCUAUCCCCACCUCCAUCUUACAUUUAUAAAUUCCCACCUCCACCAUCUAUAUCACCUCCACCACCACCUCCAUCACUGUCACUAUUGCCUCGCUACUGUUCCAAGUCAUCACCACCUCCUGAAGACUACUAAGUUCAAUGUUCCGUCUUCAAACAAAUUUAAAAUUCAAUAAGAAUAAAUUUGUUCCUUCAGUUGCCUUUUUCAUGAAUUUUUAUGUUAAUGUUUUUACGAAUAAUUUUUAAGAAGCGUUCGGUGUAUCAUUGUCAUGUGCAAUAAAAAUUUUCUAACUUAAUGUACCCAAAAAAAAAUGUUCCACAAGAAAUAUUCUAUUGUUUUAUCACAAAUGUGUUGUGGCACAUGUAAUGCGCCUAGAUAAAGUAAUAUUAUGUCUUGAUGAACAAUCAUGCACAACAAUGAUCAUGUACAUAGUUCUUCCAAUGUCAUGAUAAUGUCCAUGCACAUAAUAACAAACUUCUUCCUUGUAAUAUCAAAGAAAAUGAAUAUACAAGCCUCUUAUUCUCUAAUCAUUCACUCAAACAACAUUGUUUUAAUUUAGGUUUUGAUCAAUCUUAAUGCUCAUAAAUGCUAACUACAAAUCAUAUACAAGAUCAACAAAAACCAUAUUUUAAAUGAAUUAGAAAAACAAACAUUAGACUUAACCAAGUAGUUAACCUUUAUUAUUCUCCUAGGUAGAUUACAAGCUAUCACUGAAAAAAAAAAUCAUCUAAAAUGGUGAACAAAUGCGCUCUAAAUCAGUUGCAUUCAUUUGUUCAGCUAAGCAAUAAAAUAACCCUUUUCCAUUUUAACUUAUAUACUUUGGCAUGGUAACUUUAAAUAACACCCUCAACUUGACAAAUUUUAAUAACCAAAGCGAUCAAUAACUGUAAAUCUUGACAAAAUUUUUUACUUUAGUUAAAGCCAUAAACAUAGUAUUAAAUAAAAUGAAAAAAAAGGCCAUAAACAUAGUGUUGAAAUACCUUUAUACUUGUGAACUAACUUUUGAUGUUGAUUAAGCUCAUGUACCCUCAACUUUUGUAUUAUGAAUAUGCUUAUGCCCUAUCUUAGGUCUCCUCUAUGAACUCCUCCAUGAACCACUUUUUUUUUUUUUUUUAAAAAAUAAAUUCAUUAUGAUACUAAGGUAUAAGCAGAAGUAAAAUUCCUUUAAUAUUAUUGUAAUCAGGAUGUGGCUACCUAGGUGAUACAUGAAUUGGUUAUUUGUACAUUUUACUACAUUUUUUUGAGUUUGCUUGCUAUUUUUCUCUUUGUUCCAAUAAUUCCCACACGAGGAUAAUCUCAUUUUAACAAAGAAAGAUACUACUGAAAUACAACAAAACAUAAAUUCUAAUAUACUAGAAAAUUUUUUUUUCUUUGCCUUUUCAUAUCUUAGAGUUAUGUUUUUAUCCUCUUGUAGUGGCAUAUAUGCAUUUUAACUAGAAUAUUCUUAUUUGAGAAUUAUUAAUAAGAGAGUGGUAGACAAAUGAUACAAAACUAUGCUGCUUCACGAUUAACAACACAUUCAAUCGAGUAACGAUAGAGAGUCAAUUCUAACACCACGAGAAAGCAAACAAAAGUUGAAAUAUUUUAGCGAAUACCUUUUAAAGUUUGAAUUAAUAAUAAAAUUGUCCCAAAAAACUGCCUUAAUGGAAUUAAUGUGGAGAUUUAGUGGUAGGGUGCAUCAAUAUCAUUUUCCAGAAAAAAAAUAGUCAAAAUAUGAAAGGUUUGUUCUGCAGGUGGUUGAUAUUGCUGUACAUUAAUAUCAAUGAUACGUACCAAAUUCUAUUAUAAAAUUCAUUAAUGUAUAAGUAGAAUAUUUAAUAAAUUAAUUCCGGGUAAAACGUCGGUGAUAUGAACAGUAGCGAAGCUGCAACCGGGUUAGCUUUUUUUUUUAAUAAAAAAAUAGUUAAUUAUAAUUUAUGAAUUUGCCUUUAUUAAUACUUAAAAAAAUAAAAAUAAAUUUAAUAGCCCACCCCGAUGCUAGCUAAGCUAAAAAUAAAAUAUAUCGAAUAAAUGGUGAAGAGAAAGCUGUAAUAAUUAUCGUAAUUACAGUGAGAAGCUGUAAUUUUCUUGAACACGCUUUGACGUACGAUUAGCAAAAAAGUCGUCUGUCUAUAAGCAAUUGGCCGUACAGCAUCUUAACUAUUCCGUUGACAUUGUAAUUAAUUAAUUGAUGACUUUUCUAUAAUUUCUUUGAACCAAAUGCAGAUAUUUAGUGGGCAACCCGCAACCCUUGCUUGGCAAAAUAUAGGAAAGAAAAACUUGAAAUUUAUAAAUGUUACAUUUUGUUUGGAUGAAUAAUUUUGAGAUAAUGUUUCAGUUUUAGAUUUUGUUACCGAUACCUAAUUAUAAUAAUAAAAAAUAUUGCAUCAUUUUUUUACCAACAGUUACAAUACAUUUUAUUUUUUUUUCUUCUCAAUAUUUAAACUCGAAUAAUCAGUUAAAAGUUGCUCGAGAAUGUUUAAAAGCCAUUUAAGUAUACCACGUCAUUCAUGUUUUGCAAUCAUUCAAUUGUUAAUAAGUUUCCCAUGUGCUGAAAAUAAAUAAAAAUGCACGUGCAUAUGUCAUAUUGUCUCCGAAACCUCACAGCGGAAUGAGUGUAGUACUUGCAAUGCAUGUACUUUAGACUUUGUAUUUCUCUUAUUUAAAUGAUCAAUAAUUUUUCUUUGUCCUUUAAUUAGACGUCAACAGUCGAAGUUGUGGGCAAGUAGUAGGCUAUAUAUAAUAAUUUCCUGGAGAUCUUCCGUCUUCUAAGACAUUGCAAAUGCCAAACGUGAUAACUAUUUUGAUAAUUCAAAUACUACAUAAAAUAUAUGAAGUGUCAGACAAGUCAAAAGAAUUGAUUCUUCACAAUUGUAUAUACGUAUACACACACUUUGCCCAAAUCCCAUUGUAUCCAGGCUGUAAUUUUUAUAUUAAACGAACAUAUUUUAUUUUAUGUCAGCAAUAUUGAUGCAGGCUGGUGGAACAACAGCUUCAGGAUGGUCAACUACCCUUCGGAUCAUUGCAAGUGGGAUGGCAUCACUUGCAAUUCAGAUGGAACCAUAAUCGGGCUAAAAUUAUCAGGGUAUGAUGUUGACUUCAAAAGGUAGUCUUCGUAAAAUUAUCAUGGUAUAAUAUACGUAUUUAUUUUCGCAUACAUAAAUAAAUAACAAAAUUGUAAUUAAUUGGAUACAACUUCAGCUUUUGGACUGGUUUGUGAAAAUCGGAAAAAUUUAAAAAUGCUCCUCUUGAACAAUCAAAAUCUACUUUAUACGUGAACAAAGGGGAUGAUUCGUAAAGAUAAUUCAUCAAUGUUUGAUUACUUUCAGAAAGAUAGACUUCAUUUGAUCUCGUCCCAAAGCAUAAUUUCACUUUGAAUUUGAAAAAGAAUAAUGAAGUUCAUACGAUGCUGUUGUGACCUUUUUUUUUUGUUUUCUUUUUUUCUCGACGUUGUUUUGUGAAUCAUAAGGGUUAAUUUAGUACGGUGGGUUCGCUUGUAUGAAGCGUACUUAUUGUACCAUUCUGUUGCAAGUAAUGAAAAAACGCUAUAAUUUUUUUUAGGUUUCUACAAGUAUUAUGUUAUCUUAUAUCUAACUGUGCAUCUCUAUUCUUUGCUCUCAGUUCAGGUUCUCUAAAAGUAUAUUAAUUAUGAAAAGCAUUAAAGGUUCCGAAACUCUAUUUUGCGGGGAAAAAGAACCUCCAUUUUUGGUUUUUUAUUAUCAUAAGAGGUUUUACUAUGCUCGUAAUAACUUAAUCGAAAUUAAACAUAUCACUGGUCUACAUUUUUUUAUCAGAUUUUGUGCCUUGCUAAUUAAGAUGAGUAUCACCAUCAAAUCAACAAGCUUAUACCUUCAAAGAAAAAUAGACUAUAAGUCGGGAGAAAGAAGAAGAAAAAAAAAAAGAAGCUUCGCAAUUUAUGCUGUUGGUUGUGAGUUCAUGAAACAAAUAAAAAUAUGAAAUCAAACAUUUAUUCAAAAUUUAAAAUUAAAAAAAAAACUCUAUAUCUACAGUAAUCUGUUCAAACCACAUAGGUGGAGCAAUAUAGUUCCAAGACGUGGUUUUAAAACAUGUCUUUGUGAUAAACAAUAUCGUGAUACUUGCGCCAAUUCCCAUGGCAAUAAUUGCCUACAUUUAUCCAAGAUCCAUGGCCAGGUUUAGAAUGUGCUAGUCUUCUUUCACUUUCAUAAAUAACCACUACUAGGUAAUCAGAGUGUCGGUCUAAAUUUUUCGGAGAUACAACGUCAAUGUAUGUGCCCGGAGUUGAAGCUGAACGCGCUUAAAUAUGUUCGGAAUUUGAAGUUGAACGCCUGGAAAAGGAUGCAGACUGAAGAAAGGCAAUUCCUGGAAUUUGUCUUUGGUAAGAAAACAUGGCUGCUUAUGCCCUUUGAAAGACUGAAGAAACCAAAUUGAUUAUUGCUGCAAUUUAGUGGCACAUGUACGAGGAGAGGCAUCCAAUUAAACUUGUUCAUAAAAGUAUUGCUGAUAGUUGCAGCCGAUCUCCAGACAAAAUCUUCGUACAAUUUUAUCCGCCAGCAAUUUCGACCAAGAGACCUUGAUGCAGUUCAGACCAAUUCGCCAGUUGAACAUCAAGUUGCCUAGGCAUUGAGAAUUAGGUCAAUAAAAUAUAUCCUGGGUCACUUACAAAAGAUGAAAUAAGUGAAAAAGGAAAGAUGACGUAAUAAUUUCUUAGUGAGAAAAGUUAGUUAAUUUUCAAUUGCUUUCAUUGUUUUGAUAAUUUUCAAAACAUUUCAUUGCUUUCAUUGCGUAAUUAAGCUUUUUUUGCUUCAAAAUAUUUCAAAUUGUGUUUGUGGGACUACUAAACAAUUAGGACACAACAAUGUUUCGUUCUGGUCUUUUUUUUUUUUUACUUUUUAAUUUAUUUUAAGAAAAUCUUUGUCCAUCUCUCAUCCUGCCAAAUAUAUCGUCUCGUCUUGUUAUCUAGAAUAAUUCUUCAUGCAUCAAUGAGUUUUGACAAAUUUUUAUCUUUUAAAAGUUGUUGUAAUUCAAUAUAGCUAAAAUCUUAAAUACAUACAUGUAGAAUAAUCUAAGCAUUACCUUAUUCGGGGAAAAUCGAGAUUAGAAUCAAUCAAAGCAAUGAUACCUUAUAUCAGUGAGAUAUAUGCAAGACUCACCCAUUGGUACAAACGAAAAUGAUCAAAGUGGAAGCAAAAAUGGAAUCCUCAAAUGUGGUGAUAAUUUAGAUGAUCUCCACUCUCCAUUUGGUUUCAUCUAAUAAGUUAGUGUUUAAUUAAGAAUUUAUUACUCAUUUUAUUAUGAUAUUAAUCAACUGCCGUCCCUUCCAUUAGUUCAUUAUUUUUGAUGGAUUACGAAAGACAGACAAUAAAAUUCUCCAAAACUGUUGUAAGAGUAAUAUUGUAAAAGUUACAUAAAAGUGAGGAUAAGGAUAAUUUGAGGUAUGUUUCAAGAUAUAAAGAUUAAAUAAAUUCUUAACUCAAAAUAAAGAGAUUUAUUUUUUUUAAAAGAGAUUAAAAUGUCAUGAUAAAUAAAUAAGGGAGGUGAUAUUCUGGGCUCUCCCCUGGCUUUUUGUGAUAACAUCUUAAAUUAAUAUAAAUAGUUAAAAUUUUAUUAAAAAAUAAAUUUUUACCUAAUACUCUUUGACAUAGCUAGGAAUAUAGCCUACUUGCAAGAGACUUACAUUCGUUUGCACAGCCCUUUCGUGAAUAUAAAAUUGCUGCCGAAUAAGCAUCUAAUUAAAAGAAUUAGGAAUUUGUCAACGGUAUAAAUUAAAUAUAAAAAACGAGUAAAAGAAUUUGUCAAUGGGAUAUGGGGGGCUAUGGCUUCAAUCGUAGGGGUGGGCAAAUUUCGGAUUCCGAAUCCGAUCGGAUUUUGGAUAAUUCGGAUUGGGAAAAAAUCCAUCCAAAUUCAAUCCGAACCUUAAAUCUGUUUCGAUCCGAGAUAAUUUCGGAUCCGGAUCAGAUUCGGAUGAGUUUGAAUUUCAGAUUAUAUUUCAAGUUCGGAUUAUAUUUUGGAUUCGGAUUAAUUCGGGUUUGGGACCUUUUUACAAUUCUCACAAAAAAAUUAUGAAAUUUAUAAUUAAUGAAAAAUAAUUUCCAUGAUGCUGUCAACAAUAAUUAAUAUUUUGAAAACGCAAUAACGGAAUUUUCAAAAAAAAGAAAAAGAAAACACAGGAACGGUAUUGAUAAAGAAUUUUCAUUAGCCAUUUGUGACUGCUAACUAAAUUGUAACAACUAAGUAAAAUAUAAUAAUAAUAAUAAUACAUGCGGGUAUAUUCAAAGCAACUAAAUCACUUGCGAAUGAUCAAGACAAAUCGUAUAAACAAGUAAAAAAUUCAAAGUUUCAAACGCAAAUCGUCGGGGGCUAUCGGAUUAGUGGAUUACCAUUAACAAGACGAGGUUUAUGUCGGUGUGAGUUGCUCAUUGUGGGUCUGGAUGAUGUCGCGAUGGCUGGGUUUGUGCCAACUAUGAUCCAGCUAGGUUUGUAUCGAAUCUGAUCUCGUCUAGAGGACGUUGUGGCGGCUGGGUUUGUGUCGAAUUCAUUCGGUUUGUCUCGUCGGCGACAUGGUUGUUGGUUGGCUCGUCAGGUUGUGGCCCGUGGGUGUGGUGUGGUUUGUUGUCGUGGAUUGACUUAUCAAAGGGCGUGCGACGAUGGUGUGUGGUUUUGUCAUUUGGAAAUUGAGUUUUGAUUUUUCAUUUUCGUUUUUUUAAAAAAAAAUUUUUGGAUUAUUCGGAUUGAACUGAAUCUUAUCCGAUCCAAAUCAAAUCCGAUCAGAUUACAAAAAUUUCAUCCGAUUGGAUUUUAAAGCAAAUCCAAAUCCGAUCCGAACAAAUUCGGAUCGAAUUGGAUUAGAUCGGAUCUAUCCGAAUCUGAUCCAAUGUCCACCCCUAUUCAAUCGGUUUCUGCAAUGGUUAAUGGCAUAUUUUUGCUCAUCGUCACCACUGCAUUCACUAAUCAUUUGUGCACGUGAAUUGUUUUUGAGCAUUUAUUUUGCCUUCGUUAAAAUUGGGCAUGUAAAAAUUUCAUGAAAAAUGGCCAAAGUGGCUGGCUAGGUGAUAUAAUGGAUGGUUACAACUCAAACCUAGCAAUAAAUGAAUGUCCGACAAGCAUUCAAAUGAAUGUAUAAAACCAAUGAGAUUAGAAUAUCUAUUUAUAAUAGACUAAUUAAAAUACGAUUCAAAUAUAAGGUAAAUAGUCUCUCUAUUAAUUUUUUAUUGUUUCAGGUAGGGUUGUCGAGCCUUUGUCCGGGCUUCUGUAAGCCCAUUUCCAGCCCUCUUAUAUGAUUGGAUUAGAUCAGGCUCGGCCCACCAGGCCGGGCUAAAUCUUGAGCUCUUUUUAAAUAAAAAAAAGUUGAAUUUUAAGUUUUUGAAGUUAAUAUAUAUACACACACACUUGUACUUAAAUAAUUUAUAAAUUUUUUAAAAGCCAAAUAAUAAAAAUAUUGACAUGUAAAAGUACAAUUUUUUUUUCAUGUGGAAUAAUUAUCUCAUUUCUACCUUUUUGGUCCUAUAGAUAUUUCCUCAUUUCAUCUUUGGUAUUAGAGCAGUAGUAAAAAGACACACGAUUAAAGAUAAAUGUGACAUUUUUACCGACAAAUUAACUAUUUGGAUCUAAGAUCUAGCUCUAAUGGUAAAGACUAGUUUUUAUAGAAUUCAGGUCCUGGGUUUGACUUCCAAUUGCGUGGGUAAGCUAAUAAUAAUAAUAAUAAUAAUAACAAAUUAACUAGUUUUAAUUUGCAAAGGUCUUAGAUAAUCAAUUCGUUUGUAAAAACAUCAAAUUUAUUUUCAGUAAUGAAAUUUUCAAGUCACUGGUUUUAGCACUAGGAAUGAAUUAAAUAGAGUAAUGAUAAACAUCUUAAAAUUUUAUCCCAAAUGAUAUGACAUGUAAUGUGUCAUUUAUUAAGUGGUUGGUGAUUUUUCAUAAAUUUUAAGUCGAUUAAUUAUAUUAUUUCACCAACCAAUAAAUGAACAUCACAUCAUUUGAGAAUGAAUUUUAAGGUAAAAUUUUAGAUAUAUAUCAUUACUCAAUUAUUUUUUAUAGUAUAAAAUCUAAUAGGGACCAAAAAUAUAAAAACCAAUUAAGAAAAAAAAAGUCAAUUCCUAAUUAGAAGAAUGAAAGUGUCAUUCUCCUAUAAUCAUUUCUCAAGUUUUUAUAUAAAUUUAUUAAUGCAAAAUUUUAAAAGAAAAUCGGUACCUAAAACUAACGCCUUUGACAAUGCUGCCAAUAUCACUCACAACUUACAAGAAUAAAGAAUUUGUAUUAAAUUUAUUAAUGUUCUCAAAGAAUUUUUAGUUUUGACUUUACAUUCUCAGACCCAUUUGUCACAUAACAUCUUAGCUGAUUAACAAAGCCCUUUCGUGAGAAUAUUAAAACUGCUCUCGAAUAAGCAUCUUAACAACCCCGUUUUUGACAUACAUGCAUGCCUCCUCAUGUCAGCAAAUUUGAAACAUAAAAGAUAAUUUCAAUCGAUGUGAGAGUUGGGAGUAUUUUAUAGCUUUUGACCUCAUUAAUUAUGAGUAAGAGAAUAUUUCUACGUCACUAAUGAUUAAAAUGAUCACUAUAUAUAUAAAGGGUAGCAAAGUAUGUUUAACAUCAAGUCAGAAAACACAAUUUUUAGGAAAUGGGAACUCGGGGACAGGCGAGGCAAUGGCCUCAAUUGUUUUGUGCUAUAGCAUUUUUGCUUAUAGCCACCACGACCAAGGCAUCGGCUGAUGAUUAUGCCUCAGCACCACCACCAAAGUAUUCUUCUCCACCUCUUUACUACUACAAAUCACCACCUCCUCCUUCUCCCUCUCCACCUCCACCAUAUUAUUACAAGUCUCCCCCACCACCAUCUCCGUCUCCUCCACCACCUUACUACUACACGUCACCACCGCCACCAGUGCAUUCUCCCCCGCCACCUUACUACUACAAGUCACCACCGCCACCAGUGCAUUCUCCUCCGCCACCUUACUACUACAAAUCUCCGCCGCCACCAAAGCAUUCUCCCCCGCCACCUUACUACUAUAAGUCACCACCACCACCAGUGCAUUCUCCCCCGCCACCUUAUUACUACAAAUCUCCGCCGCCACCAAAGUAUUCUCCCCCGCCACCUUAUUAUUACAAAUCUCCGCCGCCACCAAAGCAUUCUCCUCCACCACCUUACUACUACAAAUCUCCACCACCACCAAACCAUUCUCCCCCACCACCUUACUACUAUAAGUCACCACCACCACCAAAGCAUUCUCCCCCACCUCCUUAUUACUACAAAUCUCCACCACCACCAAUGUAUUCUCCACCACCACCUUACUAAUACAAAUCUCCGCCAUCGCCAUCUCUAUCCCCGCCUCCAUCUUACAUUUAUAAAUUCCCACAACCAUCAUCUAUACCACCUCCACCAUGACCUCUAUCACGGUCAUUAUUGCUUCCUUACUACUCCAAGUCACCGCCAACUCCUUUAUCUCCACCUUCACCGUAUUACUACAAUCACCCCCACCUCCCAAAGACUACUACGUUCAGUAUCCCUUCUUGAAACAAGUUUAAAAUUCAAUAAGAAUAAAUUUGUUCCUUUGGUUGCCUUUUUUUUUAAUUUUUUACUAAGUUCAAUGCCCCUUCUUGAAACAAGUUUCAAAUUCAAUAAGAAUAAAUUUGUUCCUUUGGUUGCCUUUUUAUGCUUUUUUGUGUCAAUUUUUUUACAAAUAAUUUGUAAGAAGCGUUCAGUGCAUCAUUUGUCAUGUGCAAUAAAAAUCUUCUAACUUAAUGUAUCCCCAAAAAAAAAAAAAAAAAUUGUUCUAUAAGAAUUAUUCUAUUGUUUUAUCACAAAUGUGUUGUGGCGCAUAUAAUGCUCCCGGAUGAAGUAAUAUUAUGUCUUGAUGAACAAUCAUGCACAACAAUGAUCAUGUACAUAGUUCUUCCAACGUCAUGAUAAUGUCCAUGCACAUAAUAACAAACUUCUUCCUCAUAAUAUCAAAGAAAAUGAAGAUACAAGCCUCUUAUUCUUUAGUCAUUCACUCAAACAACAUUGUUUUAACUUAGGUUUUGAUCAAUCUUAAUGCUAAUAAAUGCUAACUACAUAUCAAAUACAAGAUCAACAAAAACCAGAUUUUAAAUUAAUCAGAAAAACAAACACUAGACUUAACCAAGCAGUUAAGCUUUAUUAUUCUCCCUCAGUAAAGGAUACAAAGAUGUAGGUGGAUUACAAGCUAUCACUGAAAAAAUAGAAAUCAUCUAAAAUGGUGAACAAAUGAGCUCUAAAUCUGUUGCACUCAUUUGUUCAACUAAGCAAUGAAAUUACCCUUUUCUAUUUUAACUGCUUGUCUACUUUAACACGGCAACUUUAAAUAACAACCUUCAACUUGAAAAAUUUGAGUAACCAGAGCCAUCAAUAACGGUAAAUCUUGACAAAAAUUUUAGUUUAAUUAAGGCCAUAAACAUAAUAUUAAAUAAUAAAAAAAAAAGGCCAUAAACAUAGUGUUGAAAUACCAUUAUACCUGUGAACGAACUUUUGAUGGUUAUUAAACUCAUGAACCCUCAAUUUUUGUAUUAUGAAUAUGCUCAUGGCCUAUCUUAGGUCUCCUCUAUGAACCACUUUUUUUUUAAAAAAAUUAUAUUCAUUAUGAUACUAAGGUAUAAGUAGAAGUAAAGUUCUUUUAAUAUUUUUGUAACCAGGAUGUGACAACCUAGGUGAUACGUGAAUUGGUUAUUUGCACAUUUUGCUACAUUUUUGUGAGUUUGCUUGCUGGUUUUCUCUUUGUUCCAACAAUUCACACAUAGGAUAAUCUCAUUUUAACAAAGAAAGAUACCACUAAAAUACAACAAAACAUGAUCAAUUCUAAUAUACUAGAAAACUUUUUUUUUUUGUUUGCCUUUUCAUAUAUUAGAGUUGUGUUUUUGUUAUCUUAUAGUGGCAUCUAUGCAGUUUAACUAAAUGAGAAUAUUCUCAUUUGAGAAUUAUUAAUAAGAGAGUAGUAGACAAAUGAUACCCAACUAUACUGCUUCACUAUUAACAACACAUCCAAUUGAGUAAUGAUAGAGAGUCAAUUCUAUCACCAAAUGAAAGCAAACAAAAGCUGAAAUAUUUUAGUGAAUAUCUUUAAAGUUUGAAUUAAUAAUAAAAUUGUCCCAAAAAACUGUCUUAAUGGAACUAAUGUGCGAUUUAUUUGUAGGGUGAAUAAAUAUCAUUUUCCAGAAAAAAAUAUAGUCAAAAUAUGGAAAGCUUGUUCUGCAAGUGGUUGAUAUUGAUGUACAUUAAUGUCAAAGAUACAUUAAGUGCAUGCCAAAUUCUAUUAUAAAAUUUAUAAAUGUAUAAGUAGAAGAUUUUAUAAAUUAAUUCCUGUAAAACGUCGGUUAUAUGAAUAAAUGGUGAAGAGAAAGCUGUAAUAAUUAUCGUAAUUACAAUUUUCUUGAGCACGCUUUGACGUACGAUUAACAAAAAAGGUCUGUAUAUGAGCAAUCGGCCGUACAUUAUCUUAACCACCUGAUUUUGUUUUUUUUUUUUGUAAUUUCAAUCUUGGCCGUUGGAGUCAAUGAAAAGAUCGUUCAAAUGGUAGAGAUUUGUCUAUUUGAUUAUUAACAUUAUGCUUCCCGAUGGUUAUCAAAAACCCAAACAAAUUAAAGAGUUAAAACUUUUAGCACAUAAGUCCGAAUUGUUUCAAAUUUAUGUUGUUUAAUCACUAGUGAGUCUCAAAAAAUAAAUUUAUUUUAAUAUUAUAUAUUUUAUUUAAAAGAAUUAAUUUUUUAUAUCAUUUAUUUUAUUAAAAAUAAAUAUUAUUGAAUACUAAUUAUUCUCAUUUUAUUUAAUAUUAUUUAGUUAUAGGCUUAUUAUUAUAUUUAAUUGUUCAAAAAACUAAAAAAAUUUAAAUAAAAUAAAGUAAUUGAUGGUUGUCGAAGCCAACAAAAAUAAAUUCCUACUCUAAAUAAAUUGUGUAUAGUGAUUGAGCAGGGUCGUGUCCACAGAGAUCGGUAAUUAUUUAAAUCCUUUUGAAACGUAAAACGUAAAAUGGGGGAAUUGUUGACAAUAAUAAAAAUCAAAUUAAAAUAACAAGAAUGCAAAUUAAAGUUGUAAUUCAAAUUGGAGAAAGCUCUGGUUGAAGGAAUUAACUCAGCUUGAUUCGACUACUGAUCAUUGAUUCAAAUAUAGAUUAUUAUUACUCAUGAAUAGACCGGUUAUAGCUACUGAGACCCUCUAAUAGCCAAUCUCUCCUUAACUAGUCGAUAACCAAGGUACGACCGUUGGAUAUUCCCUAAUCAAUAGACAACCCUAGAUACGAUCAUAGAAUUUAAUCAAUUGACAGCCUGAAAAACCAGAAAGACCCAAAUCCUAAUCAACACAUAUGAUGAUUCAUUUAAAUUAAAUUGUUUAUUCUCACAACACAACUCUCUGCUAUGUCAUUUGUCACAAACAUUAAAUUCUUCAUACGAUGAAUCCCUUAAUUGACAAUAGAUUAAGUUGAUAAUUAAAUAGUGGCCAACUGCUGUACGGCCAAGGCGGAUGUACGGUACAGCAGAAUACAUUCCCUUACUCAACUAACAAAGUCUUUCAUUUAUCUGAAAACAGUUCCAAUUUUGAAAUAUCAGUGUCAAACUUUUCCCAGCAACAUAUUUAUCAUCUCUCCACAUUAUCCUUAACUGACAGCAGCUUGGAAGAUCUUCAAUCAGCAAGUUCAGAAAGCAAUGAACAAGUACCUUCUGUUUCUGCACACACAAAUAAUCUGCAUCAACAAGAGCAUUCUNNNNNNNNNNNNNNNNNNNNNNNNNNNNNNNNNNNNNNNNNNNNNNNNNNNNNNNNNNNNNNNNNNNNNNNNNNNNNNNNNNNNNNNNNNNNNNNNNNNNNNNNNNNNNNNNNNNNNNNNNNNNNNNNNNNNNNNNNNNNNNNNNNNNNNNNNNNNNNNNNNNNNNNNNNNNNNNNNNNNNNNNNNNNNNNNNNNNNNNNNNNNNNNNNNNNNNNNNNNNNNNNNNNNNNNNNNNNNNNNNNNNNCAGCAGAAUAAAAUAUUAUUAAUUUUAUUUUUUUUAUUUUGCUAUCUUACUAAUAAUUGGCAAUAAUAAUAAUAAUAAUAAUAAUAAUAAUAAUAUCUUUAAGGUUAAUGAUUUUAUUUUCUAAUUAAUAUGGAUAAUUUUAGAUUUUUAUAAUAUAUAUGACGAUAAACACGAAAUUAAGUAUAAAACUAAUUCUCAAAAUCCGAUUUUAAAAAUCUACUUUUUCCCUACUUUUUAAAAUCUUCAGUAAGAUAAGGUAAAUUUACCAAAAGUGAUUUCUGAAAAUAUUUAUCAAAUAAUAAAAUUAAUUUGUAACUUUUCAAAAUAACUUUUAAAUCUCGCAAAAAAAAAUCCUAAAUGAGUCCUAAGUACCUAACUUUAUGACGGUCAACAAAUAUGGUAUAAAAGUCUUCUACACCUACUGGGCAUUUGAAUGGGCCAUCUGUCUUAGCUCUUACCUCUUAAAAUGGGCUAAAAAUCAGAGAGUCAGUUAACUAAUAUGGGCUAAAAUUUGGGUACACCUCUCGGGCAUGUUAAUGGGCCAUCAUCUUUCACAGGUUUCUAAAGGGUAAAGGCUUUCUGUCUCCCAAGACUUCGACUAGUGAAAUUUAAUCGAUAUAAAUAUGUAGCUACCUAUAUUUAUAUAAGAAAAUGAUGUUCUCAUAAAUUUGCGUGCAAAGAUUUGCACAAAACGGUGCGUUUUGUGCAGCUUUAAAAAUGCUCUUCGUACGUGCACCAAACAACACACAAGCACGCCAAUUCACAACAUCAUUUUCCCACUCGCGUCUGCCUCCUUUCACUGCAACAAAAACCCAGCAGCUUCGUUCUCCACACAGCAAGAAGUCUCCUUAUUAAUAUAAUAUUAUAUAAUAAACUCAACAGAAGUCUCCUUUCUUCCUCCAUUUUUCCUCACGAGAUAGCUCCGAUCUCUCUCCCUCCGUCCUCCUUUCUUCCUUACAAGACAGCUCGGGUCUCUCUCUCUGGCCUCCUUUCUCCCUCACAAGAUAGUUCGGAUCUCUCUUUCCAGUCUCCACGCCGCUAAUAGUCCCAGUUCUAACCUCUCUCGCCCCGCAGCAACCAUAAGAUCUCUCUCUCACCCGUUUCAAUUCAUUGCUCUAAUUGAAAUCUUUAACUCGUUUAGGACAUUGUGCUGAAUUACCUAUGGAUGGUGGUGGUCUUAUGCUUGAGUGUUGUAAAUUAGAAUCAAAUUAUGCAAAACCUGAUGCCUUUGGGAAUCAUGUUUAUUUCAAGCUUCUAUGUUGUGAUUUGAUUAUUUGAUGAAGCACCUGGAAAAUGUAGUUUGCUCCCUCAAAUUAUUUUACUCUGUUGAAUAAAUUGUAUUUGCCAUUAUUUGAAAAGAAUUUAAAAAAAAAUUACAGCCCCGAAACAUUGAGCUUAUGCUAUAAUUUAAGCAUCUCCCUCAUUUAUAGCACAUUUAUUUUCAUAAUUUACGCGACAAUGGAGAACGGAGCCGAGACUGUUAGUGGCAUGGGGAUGAGAGAGAAAAAUAUGAGCUGUUUCGUGAGGUUUUGUUAGGUUUCGUGAGGGAGAAAGGAGAUGGGAGAGAGAGACGCUGAGUUUUGUUGCUCCCCUCACUUGUGUGUGUUUGGUGUUAAAACUUUGCAGCAAAGAGUGGCUUUUAUACUUUGCACAAAACGCACCGUUUUGUGCAAAGUUUUGUGCAAAGUGUUGUGAGAACAUCAUUUUCCAUUUAAAUAUUGGCUUUUCAUUUUUUUUCAAAUGAGAAUUGAUCCAGUGUGCACCAUCAUGCACAGCACAAGGUAUAUUUUCAUCAGUGGGCGCUAGGUCUCAUAGAUUGGUUCUCUCUAAUAAGAACAUGUCGUCUGUUGUCCCGCGCUAGAUCGAAUGCGUUUUCAAAUUUGUCAAAUUACAUUUUGAGCAUGUCAUAGUGGACGUUAUUACAAAGUCGUCAAUCUCAAUACAAUAAUCAUGACAUCAGGUUUUGAGAAUGUGAAUAAAACUCAUAUUUAUUUGAUAAAAUAUAAUUUAAAAAUAAAAAUAAAAUAUGUAUAUUCUAUAUAAUUUGAUAAUAAAAAAUAGAAAUCUCAUUUUUAUAUUGGGUUGGGAAUGAGGAUUCCUAUUUCUUGAACUGACUUUUAUAUCUCUCUAUUUUUUUCAUAUUUUUUAAAUUAUUCUCGUUUAAAUCACAAUUAAUUUGAUUACUGCUGUACGGCCAAGGCGGAUGCAAUAGAAUUGCACCUACAAAAGUAAAACAUAAGUAAAUCACUAUUAUUAAGUGCAAAACAUUGAUAUUAAGGGAAGUAAAUAAUGCAAAACUAGUGCAUAAAUUGCACUCUAACAGUAAUCAGUAAUCAGCAUUAAAAAUUAAAUUAAAUUAAAUUUUUUUGUUUUUAAUAUUAUUUAGUUAUAGACUUAUUAUUAUAUUUAUUCGUUCAUAAAACUAAAUAAUGUUAAAUCAAAUAAAAUAAUCAGGAAUGGUUCUUAAAAAAUUAAUAUUAUUUAUUUUAUUUUAUUUAAUAUUAUUUAGUCAUAGCCUAUUAUUCUGUUUAUUUUUUGAAAAUUAAAUAAUAUUAAAUAAAAAUCCCCCCUUUUCACAAUAGAUUCCUCCCUUCAAUACUCUCUCUCUCCUCUCUUUUAGAAUUCUAUUUAAAAUAAAAUACUAAUAUCUGAAAUAUUAAAUUCGUAAUUACAAAAAUAACCAAAAAUACAAAAUACGUUAAACUAAAAACUGCAGGUCCGCAGUUGACAGCACGCGCCCACGCCUUAUCAACAAAGUUCUUCUGACGCUCAUAAUUUCUCCAAGAGAACAAUCAUCCUUAAACAUCAUCUUAUAGCUCAAUUUUAUCAUCAAUCAAUAGAAUUACACCUACAAAAGUAAAACACAAGUAAAACAUUAUUAUUAAGUGCAAAACAUCGAUAUUAAGGGAAGUAAACAAUGCAAAACUAGUGCAUAAAUUGCACUCUAACAAAUUCCCCCACACCAAGAUGAUGCUUGUCCUCAAGCAUAUAACUCAAGACUAAUCUCAAAUCUCCACUAAAUUCUCAUCUCAACUCAUCCAAAAAUAAUUUUAAGCAAGCAUACCUCAAGAAAUUAAGUCGAUCAACAUUCGAGAGACAAGGAUUUUUAAAGCAUAGAAUCUCAUAAGAUAGAAUAAGAACAUUCAACCACCAAGAAGAUCCAUUCAAAAUUCAAGUGCAACAAGAUGUAAUAGCCCUCUCAAUAACUUCACUCCAUGCACUCAAAGUGUUUAGGGUAUCAUUUAUGCACUCAAAUCAAAUCAAAGAAUGCUAUUACCAUAAGCUUGCUCAUAUAUCACAUCUCAAUCCACAAAACAUGAAUAAAAUGAAAAAAUCUAAGGGUCUUAAAAGGGUUGUAAUGGGGUUAAAUAGGUUAAAUGAAAAAGAAAGGUCUAUGAAAGAAAAAGAGAUCAAAAUGAGAAGAAUGAACUCAUUGAAUGAACUUAUGAUAUCAAAAUGCUCCUUGGCCGUACAGCAGGAAUGGUUCUUAAAAAAUUAAUAUUAUUUAUUUUAUUUUAUUUAAUAUUAUUUAGUCAUAGCCUAUUAUUCUGUUUAUUUUUUGAAAAUUAAAUAAUAUUAAAUAAAAUAGAAUAGAAAAUGUGAGUCCUUAAAAAUAAAAAUUAUUUUUAAUAUUAUUUAUUUUAUUUAAAAGAAUAAAUUUUUUAAUAUUUUUAUUUUAUUAAAAAAUAUUAUUUAAUAUUAUCUAGUCAUAGGCUUAUUAUUAUAUUUCUUCUUUUAGAAAGUUAAAUAGUAUUAAAUGAAAUAAAAUUACAUUUUAGAAGGUCAUUAGCCAAAGCACAUAAACUUAUAAACAAAUGGAAAUAAAAAAGGUAAAUAAUAUUCAAUAAAAUAAAAUUACAUUUUAAAAGGUCACCAACCAAAGCACAUAAUAUUAUAACAAAAAUGUAAAUAAAAAAGAAAGUAAGAGAUUCAAUGAAAUUUAACAUCACAAAAGACAAUUUCAAAAAUUGGGGGUAGCUUGCAACUGUUGCAAAGUGGCUGGUUCCAUAAUUUUGAGAUAAUGUUUCGGUUUCAAAUAUUGUUAUCGAUACCUAAUUAUAAGUAAUAAAAAAAUAUUGUAUAAUUUUUUUACCAACAUUUACAAUACAUUUUAUUUUGAUUUCUGAAAAAAAUAGAUAAAACACAAAUUAAUUAUUUUAACCCUCUAUUCUCUCAAUAUUUAAACUCGAAUAAUCAGUUAAAAGUUGCUCGAGAAUGUUUAAAAGCCAUUUAAGUAUACCACGUCAUUCAUGUUUUGCAAUCAUUCAAUUGUUAAUAAGUUUCCCAUGUGCUGAAAAUAAAUAAAAAUGCACGUGCAUAUGUCAUAUUGUCUCCGAAACCUCACAGCGGAAUGAGUGUAGUACUUGCAAUGCAUGUACUUUAGACUUUGUAUUUCUCUUAUUUAAAUGAUCAAUAAUUUUUCUUUGUCCUUUAAUUAGACGUCAACAGUCGAAGUUGUGGGCAAGUAGUAGGCUAUAUAUAAUAAUUUCCUGGAGAUCUUCCGUCUUCUAAGACAUUGCAAAUGCCAAACGUGAUAACUAUUUUGAUAAUUCAAAUACUACAUAAAAUAUAUGAAGUGUCAGACAAGUCAAAAGAAUUGAUUCUUCACAAUUGUAUAUACGUAUACACACACUUUGCCCAAAUCCCAUUGUAUCCAGGCUGUAAUUUUUAUAUUAAACGAACAUAUUUUAUUUUAUGUCAGCAAUAUUGAUGCAGGCUGGUGGAACAACAGCUUCAGGAUGGUCAACUACCCUUCGGAUCAUUGCAAGUGGGAUGGCAUCACUUGCAAUUCAGAUGGAACCAUAAUCGGGCUAAAAUUAUCAGGGUAUGAUGUUGACUUCAAAAGGUAGUCUUCGUAAAAUUAUCAUGGUAUAAUAUACGUAUUUAUUUUCGCAUACAUAAAUAAAUAACAAAAUUGUAAUUAAUUGGAUACAACUUCAGCUUUUGGACUGGUUUGUGAAAAUCGGAAAAAUUUAAAAAUGCUCCUCUUGAACAAUCAAAAUCUACUUUAUACGUGAACAAAGGGGAUGAUUCGUAAAGAUAAUUCAUCAAUGUUUGAUUACUUUCAGAAAGAUAGACUUCAUUUGAUCUCGUCCCAAAGCAUAAUUUCACUUUGAAUUUGAAAAAGAAUAAUGAAGUUCAUACGAUGCUGUUGUGACCUUUUUUUUUUGUUUUCUUUUUUUCUCGACGUUGUUUUGUGAAUCAUAAGGGUUAAUUUAGUACGGUGGGUUCGCUUGUAUGAAGCGUACUUAUUGUACCAUUCUGUUGCAAGUAAUGAAAAAACGCUAUAAUUUUUUUUAGGUUUCUACAAGUAUUAUGUUAUCUUAUAUCUAACUGUGCAUCUCUAUUCUUUGCUCUCAGUUCAGGUUCUCUAAAAGUAUAUUAAUUAUGAAAAGCAUUAAAGGUUCCGAAACUCUAUUUUGCGGGGAAAAAGAACCUCCAUUUUUGGUUUUUUAUUAUCAUAAGAGGUUUUACUAUGCUCGUAAUAACUUAAUCGAAAUUAAACAUAUCACUGGUCUACAUUUUUUUAUCAGAUUUUGUGCCUUGCUAAUUAAGAUGAGUAUCACCAUCAAAUCAACAAGCUUAUACCUUCAAAGAAAAAUAGACUAUAAGUCGGGAGAAAGAAGAAGAAAAAAAAAAAGAAGCUUCGCAAUUUAUGCUGUUGGUUGUGAGUUCAUGAAACAAAUAAAAAUAUGAAAUCAAACAUUUAUCCAAAAUUUAAAAUUAAAAAAAAACUCUAUAUCUACAGUAAUCUGUUCAAACCACAUAGGUGGAGCAAUAGAGUUCCAAGACGUGGUUUUAAAACAUGUCUUUGUGAUAAACAAUAUCGUGAUACUUGCGCCAAUUCCCAUGCCAAUAAUUGCCUACAUUUAUCCAAGAUCCAUGGCCAGGUUUAGAAUGUGCUAGUCUUCUUUCACUUUCAUAAAUAACCACUACUAGGUAAUCAGAGUGUCGGUCUAAAUUUUUCGGAGAUACAACGUCAAUGUAUGUGCCCGGAGUUGAAGCUGAACGCGCUUAAAUAUGUUCGGAAUUUGAAGUUGAACGCCUGGAAAAGGAUGCAGACUGAAGAAAGGCAAUUCCUGGAAUUUGUCUUUGGUAAGAAAACAUGGCUGCUUAUGCCCUUUGAAAGACUGAAGAAACCAAAUUGAUUAUUGCUGCAAUUUAGUGGCACGUGUACAAGGAGAGGCAUCCGAUUAAACUUGUUCAUAAAAUUAUUGCUGAUAGUUGCAGCCGAUCUCCAUGAAGUACAAACCCAACGCAAAGAAACAAAGUGUUCGUACAAUUUUAUCCGCCAGCAAUUUCGACCAAGAGACCUUGAUGCAGUUCAGACCAAUUCGCCAGUUGAACAUCAAGUUGCCUAGGCAUUGAGAAUUAGGUCAAUAAAAUAUAUCCUGGGUCACUUACAAAAGAUGAAAUAAGUGAAAAAGGAAAGAUGACGUAAUAAUUUCUUAGUGAGAAAAGUUAGUUAAUUUUCAAUUGCUUUCAUUGUUUUGAUAAUUUUCAAAACAUUUCAUUGCUUUCAUUGCGUAAUUAAGCUUUUUUUGCUUCAAAAUAUUUCAAAUUGUGUUUGUGGGACUACUAAACAAUUAGGACACAACAAUGUUUCGUUCUGGUCUUUUUUUUUUUUUACUUUUUAAUUUAUUUUAAGAAAAUCUUUGUCCAUCUCUCAUCCUGCCAAAUAUAUCGUCUCGUCUUGUUAUCUAGAAUAAUUCUUCAUGCAUCAAUGAGUUUUGACAAAUUUUUAUCUUUUAAAAGUUGUUGUAAUUCAAUAUAGCUAAAAUCUUAAAUACAUACAUGUAGAAUAAUCUAAGCAUUACCUUAUUCGGGGAAAAUCGAGAUUAGAAUCAAUCAAAGCAAUGAUACCUUAUAUCAGUGAGAUAUAUGCAAGACUCACCCAUUGGUACAAACGAAAAUGAUCAAAGUGGAAGCAAAAAUGGAAUCCUCAAAUGUGGUGAUAAUUUAGAUGAUCUCCACUCUCCAUUUGGUUUCAUCUAAUAAGUUAGUGUUUAAUUAAGAAUUUAUUACUCAUUUUAUUAUGAUAUUAAUCAACUGCCGUCCCUUCCAUUAGUUCAUUAUUUUUGAUGGAUUACGAAAGACAGACAAUAAAAUUCUCCAAAACUGUUGUAAGAGUAAUAUUGUAAAAGUUACAUAAAAGUGAGGAUAAGGAUAAUUUGAGGUAUGUUUCAAGAUAUAAAGAUUAAAUAAAUUCUUAACUCAAAAUAAAGAGAUUUAUUUUUUUUAAAAGAGAUUAAAAUGUCAUGAUAAAUAAAUAAGGGAGGUGAUAUUCUGGGCUCUCCCCUGGCUUUUUGUGAUAACAUCUUAAAUUAAUAUAAAUAGUUAAAAUUUUAUUAAAAAAUAAAUUUUUACCUAAUACUCUUUGACAUAGCUAGGAAUAUAGCCUACUUGCAAGAGACUUACAUUCGUUUGCACAGCCCUUUCGUGAAUAUAAAAUUGCUGCCGAAUAAGCAUCUAAUUAAAAGAAUUAGGAAUUUGUCAACGGUAUAAAUUAAAUAUAAAAAACGAGUAAAAGAAUUUGUCAAUGGGAUAUGGGGGGCUAUGGCUUCAAUCGUAGGGGUGGGCAAAUUUCGGAUUCCGAAUCCGAUCGGAUUUUGGAUAAUUCGGAUUGGGAAAAAAUCCAUCCAAAUUCAAUCCGAACCUUAAAUCUGUUUCGAUCCGAGAUAAUUUCGGAUCCGGAUCAGAUUCGGAUGAGUUUGAAUUUCAGAUUAUAUUUCAAGUUCGGAUUAUAUUUUGGAUUCGGAUUAAUUCGGGUUUGGGACCUUUUUACAAUUCUCACAAAAAAAUUAUGAAAUUUAUAAUUAAUGAAAAAUAAUUUCCAUGAUGCUGUCAACAAUAAUUAAUAUUUUGAAAACGCAAUAACGGAAUUUUCAAAAAAAAGAAAAAGAAAACACAGGAACGGUAUUGAUAAAGAAUUUUCAUUAGCCAUUUGUGACUGCUAACUAAAUUGUAACAACUAAGUAAAAUAUAAUAAUAAUAAUAAUACAUGCGGGUAUAUUCAAAGCAACUAAAUCACUUGCGAAUGAUCAAGACAAAUCGUAUAAACAAGUAAAAAAUUCAAAGUUUCAAACGCAAAUCGUCGGGGGCUAUCGGAUUAGUGGAUUACCAUUAACAAGACGAGGUUUAUGUCGGUGUGAGUUGCUCAUUGUGGGUCUGGAUGAUGUCGCGAUGGCUGGGUUUGUGCCAACUAUGAUCCAGCUAGGUUUGUAUCGAAUCUGAUCUCGUCUAGAGGACGUUGUGGCGGCUGGGUUUGUGUCGAAUUCAUUCGGUUUGUCUCGUCGGCGACAUGGUUGUUGGUUGGCUCGUCAGGUUGUGGCCCGUGGGUGUGGUGUGGUUUGUUGUCGUGGAUUGACUUAUCAAAGGGCGUGCGACGAUGGUGUGUGGUUUUGUCAUUUGGAAAUUGAGUUUUGAUUUUUCAUUUUCGUUUUUUUAAAAAAAAAUUUUUGGAUUAUUCGGAUUGAACUGAAUCUUAUCCGAUCCAAAUCAAAUCCGAUCAGAUUACAAAAAUUUCAUCCGAUUGGAUUUUAAAGCAAAUCCAAAUCCGAUCCGAACAAAUUCGGAUCGAAUUGGAUUAGAUCGGAUCUAUCCGAAUCUGAUCCAAUGUCCACCCCUAUUCAAUCGGUUUCUGCAAUGGUUAAUGGCAUAUUUUUGCUCAUCGUCACCACUGAAUCCACUGAUCAUUUGUGCAUGUGAGUUGUUUUUGAGCAUUUAUUUUUCCCUUUAGAAGCAUAAGGAUAAGGCUAGUCUUCUUUUUGGGAGGACUUAUUGCUUCCAUUCGUUAAAAUUGGGCAUGUAAAAUGUCAAGAAAAAAUGGCCUAAGUGGCUAGCUAGAUGAUAUAAUGGAUGGUUACUACUCAAACCUAGCAAUAAAUGAAUGUCCGACAAGCAUUCAAAUGAAUGAAUAAAACCAAUCAGAUUAGAAUAUCUAUUUAUGAUAGAUUAAUGAAAAUACGAUUCAAAUAUAAGGUAAAUAAUCUCUCCAUUAAUUUUUUAUUGUUUCAGGCAGGGUUGCCAAGCCUCUGUCCGGGCUUCUAUAAGCUCAAUUCCAGCUCUCCUAUAUGAUUGAAUUAGAUCGGGCUAGGCCCUCGGACUUUUUAAUUAAAAAAGGUCGAUUUUUAAGUUUAUGAAGUUAAUACACUCACGCUUAUACUUUAAUAUUUUUAUUAUUUGGCUUUUAGAAUAUUAACGUGUAAAUUACUUUUUUUUUUCAAGUGAAAUAAUUAUCACAUUUUGUCUUCUUAGUAUAUAUUUCUACCUUUUUGUUCCUAUAGAUAUUUCCUCAUUUCAUCUUUGGUACUAGAGCGUAGUAAAAAAACACAUGAUUAAAGAUAAAUAUGACAUUUUAACUAACAAAUUAAUUAUUUGUAUCUAAGAUCUAGCUCUAGUGGUAAAGAUCAAUUUUCAUCGAAUUCAAGUCUUGGGUUUGAAUUUAAAUGCAUGGGUAAGUUAAUAAUAAUAAUAAUAAUAAUAAUAAUAAUAAUAAUAAUAAUAAUAAUAAUAAUAAUAAUAAUAAUAAUAAUAAUAAUAAUAAUAAUAAUAAUAAUAAUAAUAAUAAUAAUAAUAAUAAUAAUAAUAAUAAUAAUAAUAAUAAUAAUAAUAAUAAUAAUAAUAAUAAUAAUAAUAAUAAUAAUAAUAAUAAUAAUAAUAAUAAUAAUAAUAAUAAUAAUAAUAAUAAUAAUAAUAAUAAUAAUAAUAAUAAUAAUAAUAAUAAUAAUAAUAAUAAUAAUAAUAAUAAUAAUAAUAAUAAUAAUAAUAAUAAUAAUAAUAAUAAUAAUAAUAAUAAUAAUAAUAAUAAUAAUAAUAAUAAUAAUAAUAAUAAUAAUAAUAAUAAUAAUAAUAAUAAUAAUAAUAAUAAUAAUAAUAAUAAUAAUAAUAAUAAUAAUAAUAAUAAUAAUAAUAAUAAUAAUAAUAAUAAUAAUAAUAAUAAUAAUAAUAAUAAUAAUAAUAAUAAUAAUAAUAAUAAUAAUAAUAAUAAUAAUAAUAAUAAUAAUAAUAAUAAUAAUAAUAAUAAUAAUAAUAAUAAUAAUAAUAAUAAUAAUAAUAAUAAUAAUAAUAAUAAUAAUAAUAAUAAUAAUAAUAAUAAUAAUAAUAAUAAUAAUAAUAAUAAUAAUAAUAAUAAUAAUAAUAAUAAUAAUAAUAAUAAUAAUAAUAAUAAUAAUAAUAAUAAUAAUAAUAAUAAUAAUAAUAAUAAUAAUAAUAAUAAUAAUAAUAAUAAUAAUAAUAAUAAUAAUAAUAAUAAUAAUAAUAAUAAUAAUAAUAAUAAUAAUAAUAAUAAUAAUAAUAAUAAUAAUAAUAAUAAUAAUAAUAAUAAUAAUAAUAAUAAUAAUAAUAAUAAUAAUAAUAAUAAUAAUAAUAAUAAUAAUAAUAAUAAUAAUAAUAAUAAUAAUAAUAAUAAUAAUAAUAAUAAUAAUAAUAAUAAUAAUAAUAAUAAUAAUAAUAAUAAUAAUAAUAAUAAUAAUAAUAAUAAUAAUAAUAAUAAUAAUAAUAAUAAUAAUAAUAAUAAUAAUAAUAAUAAUAAUAAUAAUAAUAAUAAUAAUAAUAAUAAUAAUAAUAAUAAUAAUAAUAAUAAUAAUAAUAAUAAUAAUAAUAAUAAUAAUAAUAAUAAUAAUAAUAAUAAUAAUAAUAAUAAUAAUAAUAAUAAUAAUAAUAAUAAUAAUAAUAAUAAUAAUAAUAAUAAUAAUAAUAAUAAUAAUAAUAAUAAUAAUAAUAAUAAUAAUAAUAAUAAUAAUAAUAAUAAUAAUAAUAAUAAUAAUAAUAAUAAUAAUAAUAAUAAUAAUAAUAAUAAUAAUAAUAAUAAUAAUAAUAAUAAUAAUAAUAAUAAUAAUAAUAAUAAUAAUAAUAAUAAUAAUAAUAAUAAUAAUAAUAAUAAUAAUAAUAAUAAUAAUAAUAAUAAUAAUAAUAAUAAUAAUAAUAAUAAUAAUAAUAAUAAUAAUAAUAAUAAUAAUAAUAAUAAUAAUAAUAAUAAUAAUAAUAAUAAUAAUAAUAAUAAUAAUAAUAAUAAUAAUAAUAAUAAUAAUAAUAAUAAUAAUAAUAAUAAUAAUAAUAAUAAUAAUAAUAAUAAUAAUAAUAAUAAUAAUAAUAAUAAUAAUAAUAAUAAUAAUAAUAAUAAUAAUAAUAAUAAUAAUAAUAAUAAUAAUAAUAAUAAUAAUAAUAAUAAUAAUAAUAAUAAUAAUAAUAAUAAUAAUAAUAAUAAUAAUAAUAAUAAUAAUAAUAAUAAUAAUAAUAAUAAUAAUAAUAAUAAUAAUAAUAAUAAUAAUAAUAAUAAUAAUAAUAAUAAUAAUAAUAAUAAUAAUAAUAAUAAUAAUAAUAAUAAUAAUAAUAAUAAUAAUAAUAAUAAUAAUAAUAAUAAUAAUAAUAAUAAUAAUAAUAAUAAUAAUAAUAAUAAUAAUAAUAAUAAUAAUAAUAAUAAUAAUAAUAAUAAUAAUAAUAAUAAUAAUAAUAAUAAUAAUAAUAAUAAUAAUAAUAAUAAUAAUAAUAAUAAUAAUAAUAAUAAUAAUAAUAAUAAUAAUAAUAAUAAUAAUAAUAAUAAUAAUAAUAAUAAUAAUAAUAAUAAUAAUAAUAAUAAUAAUAAUAAUAAUAAUAAUAAUAAUAAUAAUAAUAAUAAUAAUAAUAAUAAUAAUAAUAAUAAUAAUAAUAAUAAUAAUAAUAAUAAUAAUAAUAAUAAUAAUAAUAAUAAUAAUAAUAAUAAUAAUAAUAAUAAUAAUAAUAAUAAUAAUAAUAAUAAUAAUAAUAAUAAUAAUAAUAAUAAUAAUAAUAAUAAUAAUAAUAAUAAUAAUAAUAAUAAUAAUAAUAAUAAUAAUAAUAAUAAUAAUAAUAAUAAUAAUAAUAAUAAUAAUAAUAAUAAUAAUAAUAAUAAUAAUAAUAAUAAUAAUAAUAAUAAUAAUAAUAAUAAUAAUAAUAAUAAUAAUAAUAAUAAUAAUAAUAAUAAUAAUAAUAAUAAUAAUAAUAAUAAUAAUAAUAAUAAUAAUAAUAAUAAUAAUAAUAAUAAUAAUAAUAAUAAUAAUAAUAAUAAUAAUAAUAAUAAUAAUAAUAAUAAUAAUAAUAAUAAUAAUAAUAAUAAUAAUAAUAAUAAUAAUAAUAAUAAUAAUAAUAAUAAUAAUAAUAAUAAUAAUAAUAAUAAUAAUAAUAAUAAUAAUAAUAAUAAUAAUAAUAAUAAUAAUAAUAAUAAUAAUAAUAAUAAUAAUAAUAAUAAUAAUAAUAAUAAUAAUAAUAAUAAUAAUAAUAAUAAUAAUAAUAAUAAUAAUAAUAAUAAUAAUAAUAAUAAUAAUAAUAAUAAUAAUAAUAAUAAUAAUAAUAAUAAUAAUAAUAAUAAUAAUAAUAAUAAUAAUAAUAAUAAUAAUAAUAAUAAUAAUAAUAAUAAUAAUAAUAAUAAUAAUAAUAAUAAUAAUAAUAAUAAUAAUAAUAAUAAUAAUAAUAAUAAUAAUAAUAAUAAUAAUAAUAAUAAUAAUAAUAAUAAUAAUAAUAAUAAUAAUAAUAAUAAUAAUAAUAAUAAUAAUAAUAAUAAUAAUAAUAAUAAUAAUAAUAAUAAUAAUAAUAAUAAUAAUAAUAAUAAUAAUAAUAAUAAUAAUAAUAAUAAUAAUAAUAAUAAUAAUAAUAAUAAUAAUAAUAAUAAUAAUAAUAAUAAUAAUAAUAAUAAUAAUAAUAAUAAUAAUAAUAAUAAUAAUAAUAAUAAUAAUAAUAAUAAUAAUAAUAAUAAUAAUAAUAAUAAUAAUAAUAAUAAUAAUAAUAAUAAUAAUAAUAAUAAUAAUAAUAAUAAUAAUAAUAAUAAUAAUAAUAAUAAUAAUAAUAAUAAUAAUAAUAAUAAUAAUAAUAAUAAUAAUAAUAAUAAUAAUAAUAAUAAUAAUAAUAAUAAUAAUAAUAAUAAUAAUAAUAAUAAUAAUAAUAAUAAUAAUAAUAAUAAUAAUAAUAAUAAUAAUAAUAAUAAUAAUAAUAAUAAUAAUAAUAAUAAUAAUAAUAAUAAUAAUAAUAAUAAUAAUAAUAAUAAUAAUAAUAAUAAUAAUAAUAAUAAUAAUAAUAAUAAUAAUAAUAAUAAUAAUAAUAAUAAUAAUAAUAAUAAUAAUAAUAAUAAUAAUAAUAAUAAUAAUAAUAAUAAUAAUAAUAAUAAUAAUAAUAAUAAUAAUAAUAAUAAUAAUAAUAAUAAUAAUAAUAAUAAUAAUAAUAAUAAUAAUAAUAAUAAUAAUAAUAAUAAUAAUAAUAAUAAUAAUAAUAAUAAUAAUAAUAAUAAUAAUAAUAAUAAUAAUAAUAAUAAUAAUAAUAAUAAUAAUAAUAAUAAUAAUAAUAAUAAUAAUAAUAAUAAUAAUAAUAAUAAUAAUAAUAAUAAUAAUAAUAAUAAUAAUAAUAAUAAUAAUAAUAAUAAUAAUAAUAAUAAUAAUAAUAAUAAUAAUAAUAAUAAUAAUAAUAAUAAUAAUAAUAAUAAUAAUAAUAAUAAUAAUAAUAAUAAUAAUAAUAAUAAUAAUAAUAAUAAUAAUAAUAAUAAUAAUAAUAAUAAUAAUAAUAAUAAUAAUAAUAAUAAUAAUAAUAAUAAUAAUAAUAAUAAUAAUAAUAAUAAUAAUAAUAAUAAUAAUAAUAAUAAUAAUAAUAAUAAUAAUAAUAAUAAUAAUAAUAAUAAUAAUAAUAAUAAUAAUAAUAAUAAUAAUAAUAAUAAUAAUAAUAAUAAUAAUAAUAAUAAUAAUAAUAAUAAUAAUAAUAAUAAUAAUAAUAAUAAUAAUAAUAAUAAUAAUAAUAAUAAUAAUAAUAAUAAUAAUAAUAAUAAUAAUAAUAAUAAUAAUAAUAAUAAUAAUAAUAAUAAUAAUAAUAAUAAUAAUAAUAAUAAUAAUAAUAAUAAUAAUAAUAAUAAUAAUAAUAAUAAUAAUAAUAAUAAUAAUAAUAAUAAUAAUAAUAAUAAUAAUAAUAAUAAUAAUAAUAAUAAUAAUAAUAAUAAUAAUAAUAAUAAUAAUAAUAAUAAUAAUAAUAAUAAUAAUAAUAAUAAUAAUAAUAAUAAUAAUAAUAAUAAUAAUAAUAAUAAUAAUAAUAAUAAUAAUAAUAAUAAUAAUAAUAAUAAUAAUAAUAAUAAUAAUAAUAAUAAUAAUAAUAAUAAUAAUAAUAAUAAUAAUAAUAAUAAUAAUAAUAAUAAUAAUAAUAAUAAUAAUAAUAAUAAUAAUAAUAAUAAUAAUAAUAAUAAUAAUAAUAAUAAUAAUAAUAAUAAUAAUAAUAAUAAUAAUAAUAAUAAUAAUAAUAAUAAUAAUAAUAAUAAUAAUAAUAAUAAUAAUAAUAAUAAUAAUAAUAAUAAUAAUAAUAAUAAUAAUAAUAAUAAUAAUAAUAAUAAUAAUAAUAAUAAUAAUAAUAAUAAUAAUAAUAAUAAUAAUAAUAAUAAUAAUAAUAAUAAUAAUAAUAAUAAUAAUAAUAAUAAUAAUAAUAAUAAUAAUAAUAAUAAUAAUAAUAAUAAUAAUAAUAAUAAUAAUAAUAAUAAUAAUAAUAAUAAUAAUAAUAAUAAUAAUAAUAAUAAUAAUAAUAAUAAUAAUAAUAAUAAUAAUAAUAAUAAUAAUAAUAAUAAUAAUAAUAAUAAUAAUAAUAAUAAUAAUAAUAAUAAUAAUAAUAAUAAUAAUAAUAAUAAUAAUAAUAAUAAUAAUAAUAAUAAUAAUAAUAAUAAUAAUAAUAAUAAUAAUAAUAAUAAUAAUAAUAAUAAUAAUAAUAAUAAUAAUAAUAAUAAUAAUAAUAAUAAUAAUAAUAAUAAUAAUAAUAAUAAUAAUAAUAAUAAUAAUAAUAAUAAUAAUAAUAAUAAUAAUAAUAAUAAUAAUAAUAAUAAUAAUAAUAAUAAUAAUAAUAAUAAUAAUAAUAAUAAUAAUAAUAAUAAUAAUAAUAAUAAUAAUAAUAAUAAUAAUAAUAAUAAUAAUAAUAAUAAUAAUAAUAAUAAUAAUAAUAAUAAUAAUAAUAAUAAUAAUAAUAAUAAUAAUAAUAAUAAUAAUAAUAAUAAUAAUAAUAAUAAUAAUAAUAAUAAUAAUAAUAAUAAUAAUAAUAAUAAUAAUAAUAAUAAUAAUAAUAAUAAUAAUAAUAAUAAUAAUAAUAAUAAUAAUAAUAAUAAUAAUAAUAAUAAUAAUAAUAAUAAUAAUAAUAAUAAUAAUAAUAAUAAUAAUAAUAAUAAUAAUAAUAAUAAUAAUAAUAAUAAUAAUAAUAAUAAUAAUAAUAAUAAUAAUAAUAAUAAUAAUAAUAAUAAUAAUAAUAAUAAUAAUAAUAAUAAUAAUAAUAAUAAUAAUAAUAAUAAUAAUAAUAAUAAUAAUAAUAAUAAUAAUAAUAAUAAUAAUAAUAAUAAUAAUAAUAAUAAUAAUAAUAAUAAUAAUAAUAAUAAUAAUAAUAAUAAUAAUAAUAAUAAUAAUAAUAAUAAUAAUAAUAAUAAUAAUAAUAAUAAUAAUAAUAAUAAUAAUAAUAAUAAUAAUAAUAAUAAUAAUAAUAAUAAUAAUAAUAAUAAUAAUAAUAAUAAUAAUAAUAAUAAUAAUAAUAAUAAUAAUAAUAAUAAUAAUAAUAAUAAUAAUAAUAAUAAUAAUAAUAAUAAUAAUAAUAAUAAUAAUAAUAAUAAUAAUAAUAAUAAUAAUAAUAAUAAUAAUAAUAAUAAUAAUAAUAAUAAUAAUAAUAAUAAUAAUAAUAAUAAUAAUAAUAAUAAUAAUAAUAAUAAUAAUAAUAAUAAUAAUAAUAAUAAUAAUAAUAAUAAUAAUAAUAAUAAUAAUAAUAAUAAUAAUAAUAAUAAUAAUAAUAAUAAUAAUAAUAAUAAUAAUAAUAAUAAUAAUAAUAAUAAUAAUAAUAAUAAUAAUAAUAAUAAUAAUAAUAAUAAUAAUAAUAAUAAUAAUAAUAAUAAUAAUAAUAAUAAUAAUAAUAAUAAUAAUAAUAAUAAUAAUAAUAAUAAUAAUAAUAAUAAUAAUAAUAAUAAUAAUAAUAAUAAUAAUAAUAAUAAUAAUAAUAAUAAUAAUAAUAAUAAUAAUAAUAAUAAUAAUAAUAAUAAUAAUAAUAAUAAUAAUAAUAAUAAUAAUAAUAAUAAUAAUAAUAAUAAUAAUAAUAAUAAUAAUAAUAAUAAUAAUAAUAAUAAUAAUAAUAAUAAUAAUAAUAAUAAUAAUAAUAAUAAUAAUAAUAAUAAUAAUAAUAAUAAUAAUAAUAAUAAUAAUAAUAAUAAUAAUAAUAAUAAUAAUAAUAAUAAUAAUAAUAAUAAUAAUAAUAAUAAUAAUAAUAAUAAUAAUAAUAAUAAUAAUAAUAAUAAUAAUAAUAAUAAUAAUAAUAAUAAUAAUAAUAAUAAUAAUAAUAAUAAUAAUAAUAAUAAUAAUAAUAAUAAUAAUAAUAAUAAUAAUAAUAAUAAUAAUAAUAAUAAUAAUAAUAAUAAUAAUAAUAAUAAUAAUAAUAAUAAUAAUAAUAAUAAUAAUAAUAAUAAUAAUAAUAAUAAUAAUAAUAAUAAUAAUAAUAAUAAUAAUAAUAAUAAUAAUAAUAAUAAUAAUAAUAAUAAUAAUAAUAAUAAUAAUAAUAAUAAUAAUAAUAAUAAUAAUAAUAAUAAUAAUAAUAAUAAUAAUAAUAAUAAUAAUAAUAAUAAUAAUAAUAAUAAUAAUAAUAAUAAUAAUAAUAAUAAUAAUAAUAAUAAUAAUAAUAAUAAUAAUAAUAAUAAUAAUAAUAAUAAUAAUAAUAAUAAUAAUAAUAAUAAUAAUAAUAAUAAUAAUAAUAAUAAUAAUAAUAAUAAUAAUAAUAAUAAUAAUAAUAAUAAUAAUAAUAAUAAUAAUAAUAAUAAUAAUAAUAAUAAUAAUAAUAAUAAUAAUAAUAAUAAUAAUAAUAAUAAUAAUAAUAAUAAUAAUAAUAAUAAUAAUAAUAAUAAUAAUAAUAAUAAUAAUAAUAAUAAUAAUAAUAAUAAUAAUAAUAAUAAUAAUAAUAAUAAUAAUAAUAAUAAUAAUAAUAAUAAUAAUAAUAAUAAUAAUAAUAAUAAUAAUAAUAAUAAUAAUAAUAAUAAUAAUAAUAAUAAUAAUAAUAAUAAUAAUAAUAAUAAUAAUAAUAAUAAUAAUAAUAAUAAUAAUAAUAAUAAUAAUAAUAAUAAUAAUAAUAAUAAUAAUAAUAAUAAUAAUAAUAAUAAUAAUAAUAAUAAUAAUAAUAAUAAUAAUAAUAAUAAUAAUAAUAAUAAUAAUAAUAAUAAUAAUAAUAAUAAUAAUAAUAAUAAUAAUAAUAAUAAUAAUAAUAAUAAUAAUAAUAAUAAUAAUAAUAAUAAUAAUAAUAAUAAUAAUAAUAAUAAUAAUAAUAAUAAUAAUAAUAAUAAUAAUAAUAAUAAUAAUAAUAAUAAUAAUAAUAAUAAUAAUAAUAAUAAUAAUAAUAAUAAUAAUAAUAAUAAUAAUAAUAAUAAUAAUAAUAAUAAUAAUAAUAAUAAUAAUAAUAAUAAUAAUAAUAAUAAUAAUAAUAAUAAUAAUAAUAAUAAUAAUAAUAAUAAUAAUAAUAAUAAUAAUAAUAAUAAUAAUAAUAAUAAUAAUAAUAAUAAUAAUAAUAAUAAUAAUAAUAAUAAUAAUAAUAAUAAUAAUAAUAAUAAUAAUAAUAAUAAUAAUAAUAAUAAUAAUAAUAAUAAUAAUAAUAAUAAUAAUAAUAAUAAUAAUAAUAAUAAUAAUAAUAAUAAUAAUAAUAAUAAUAAUAAUAAUAAUAAUAAUAAUAAUAAUAAUAAUAAUAAUAAUAAUAAUAAUAAUAAUAAUAAUAAUAAUAAUAAUAAUAAUAAUAAUAAUAAUAAUAAUAAUAAUAAUAAUAAUAAUAAUAAUAAUAAUAAUAAUAAUAAUAAUAAUAAUAAUAAUAAUAAUAAUAAUAAUAAUAAUAAUAAUAAUAAUAAUAAUAAUAAUAAUAAUAAUAAUAAUAAUAAUAAUAAUAAUAAUAAUAAUAAUAAUAAUAAUAAUAAUAAUAAUAAUAAUAAUAAUAAUAAUAAUAAUAAUAAUAAUAAUAAUAAUAAUAAUAAUAAUAAUAAUAAUAAUAAUAAUAAUAAUAAUAAUAAUAAUAAUAAUAAUAAUAAUAAUAAUAAUAAUAAUAAUAAUAAUAAUAAUAAUAAUAAUAAUAAUAAUAAUAAUAAUAAUAAUAAUAAUAAUAAUAAUAAUAAUAAUAAUAAUAAUAAUAAUAAUAAUAAUAAUAAUAAUAAUAAUAAUAAUAAUAAUAAUAAUAAUAAUAAUAAUAAUAAUAAUAAUAAUAAUAAUAAUAAUAAUAAUAAUAAUAAUAAUAAUAAUAAUAAUAAUAAUAAUAAUAAUAAUAAUAAUAAUAAUAAUAAUAAUAAUAAUAAUAAUAAUAAUAAUAAUAAUAAUAAUAAUAAUAAUAAUAAUAAUAAUAAUAAUAAUAAUAAUAAUAAUAAUAAUAAUAAUAAUAAUAAUAAUAAUAAUAAUAAUAAUAAUAAUAAUAAUAAUAAUAAUAAUAAUAAUAAUAAUAAUAAUAAUAAUAAUAAUAAUAAUAAUAAUAAUAAUAAUAAUAAUAAUAAUAAUAAUAAUAAUAAUAAUAAUAAUAAUAAUAAUAAUAAUAAUAAUAAUAAUAAUAAUAAUAAUAAUAAUAAUAAUAAUAAUAAUAAUAAUAAUAAUAAUAAUAAUAAUAAUAAUAAUAAUAAUAAUAAUAAUAAUAAUAAUAAUAAUAAUAAUAAUAAUAAUAAUAAUAAUAAUAAUAAUAAUAAUAAUAAUAAUAAUAAUAAUAAUAAUAAUAAUAAUAAUAAUAAUAAUAAUAAUAAUAAUAAUAAUAAUAAUAAUAAUAAUAAUAAUAAUAAUAAUAAUAAUAAUAAUAAUAAUAAUAAUAAUAAUAAUAAUAAUAAUAAUAAUAAUAAUAAUAAUAAUAAUAAUAAUAAUAAUAAUAAUAAUAAUAAUAAUAAUAAUAAUAAUAAUAAUAAUAAUAAUAAUAAUAAUAAUAAUAAUAAUAAUAAUAAUAAUAAUAAUAAUAAUAAUAAUAAUAAUAAUAAUAAUAAUAAUAAUAAUAAUAAUAAUAAUAAUAAUAAUAAUAAUAAUAAUAAUAAUAAUAAUAAUAAUAAUAAUAAUAAUAAUAAUAAUAAUAAUAAUAAUAAUAAUAAUAAUAAUAAUAAUAAUAAUAAUAAUAAUAAUAAUAAUAAUAAUAAUAAUAAUAAUAAUAAUAAUAAUAAUAAUAAUAAUAAUAAUAAUAAUAAUAAUAAUAAUAAUAAUAAUAAUAAUAAUAAUAAUAAUAAUAAUAAUAAUAAUAAUAAUAAUAAUAAUAAUAAUAAUAAUAAUAAUAAUAAUAAUAAUAAUAAUAAUAAUAAUAAUAAUAAUAAUAAUAAUAAUAAUAAUAAUAAUAAUAAUAAUAAUAAUAAUAAUAAUAAUAAUAAUAAUAAUAAUAAUAAUAAUAAUAAUAAUAAUAAUAAUAAUAAUAAUAAUAAUAAUAAUAAUAAUAAUAAUAAUAAUAAUAAUAAUAAUAAUAAUAAUAAUAAUAAUAAUAAUAAUAAUAAUAAUAAUAAUAAUAAUAAUAAUAAUAAUAAUAAUAAUAAUAAUAAUAAUAAUAAUAAUAAUAAUAAUAAUAAUAAUAAUAAUAAUAAUAAUAAUAAUAAUAAUAAUAAUAAUAAUAAUAAUAAUAAUAAUAAUAAUAAUAAUAAUAAUAAUAAUAAUAAUAAUAAUAAUAAUAAUAAUAAUAAUAAUAAUAAUAAUAAUAAUAAUAAUAAUAAUAAUAAUAAUAAUAAUAAUAAUAAUAAUAAUAAUAAUAAUAAUAAUAAUAAUAAUAAUAAUAAUAAUAAUAAUAAUAAUAAUAAUAAUAAUAAUAAUAAUAAUAAUAAUAAUAAUAAUAAUAAUAAUAAUAAUAAUAAUAAUAAUAAUAAUAAUAAUAAUAAUAAUAAUAAUAAUAAUAAUAAUAAUAAUAAUAAUAAUAAUAAUAAUAAUAAUAAUAAUAAUAAUAAUAAUAAUAAUAAUAAUAAUAAUAAUAAUAAUAAUAAUAAUAAUAAUAAUAAUAAUAAUAAUAAUAAUAAUAAUAAUAAUAAUAAUAAUAAUAAUAAUAAUAAUAAUAAUAAUAAUAAUAAUAAUAAUAAUAAUAAUAAUAAUAAUAAUAAUAAUAAUAAUAAUAAUAAUAAUAAUAAUAAUAAUAAUAAUAAUAAUAAUAAUAAUAAUAAUAAUAAUAAUAAUAAUAAUAAUAAUAAUAAUAAUAAUAAUAAUAAUAAUAAUAAUAAUAAUAAUAAUAAUAAUAAUAAUAAUAAUAAUAAUAAUAAUAAUAAUAAUAAUAAUAAUAAUAAUAAUAAUAAUAAUAAUAAUAAUAAUAAUAAUAAUAAUAAUAAUAAUAAUAAUAAUAAUAAUAAUAAUAAUAAUAAUAAUAAUAAUAAUAAUAAUAAUAAUAAUAAUAAUAAUAAUAAUAAUAAUAAUAAUAAUAAUAAUAAUAAUAAUAAUAAUAAUAAUAAUAAUAAUAAUAAUAAUAAUAAUAAUAAUAAUAAUAAUAAUAAUAAUAAUAAUAAUAAUAAUAAUAAUAAUAAUAAUAAUAAUAAUAAUAAUAAUAAUAAUAAUAAUAAUAAUAAUAAUAAUAAUAAUAAUAAUAAUAAUAAUAAUAAUAAUAAUAAUAAUAAUAAUAAUAAUAAUAAUAAUAAUAAUAAUAAUAAUAAUAAUAAUAAUAAUAAUAAUAAUAAUAAUAAUAAUAAUAAUAAUAAUAAUAAUAAUAAUAAUAAUAAUAAUAAUAAUAAUAAUAAUAAUAAUAAUAAUAAUAAUAAUAAUAAUAAUAAUAAUAAUAAUAAUAAUAAUAAUAAUAAUAAUAAUAAUAAUAAUAAUAAUAAUAAUAAUAAUAAUAAUAAUAAUAAUAAUAAUAAUAAUAAUAAUAAUAAUAAUAAUAAUAAUAAUAAUAAUAAUAAUAAUAAUAAUAAUAAUAAUAAUAAUAAUAAUAAUAAUAAUAAUAAUAAUAAUAAUAAUAAUAAUAAUAAUAAUAAUAAUAAUAAUAAUAAUAAUAAUAAUAAUAAUAAUAAUAAUAAUAAUAAUAAUAAUAAUAAUAAUAAUAAUAAUAAUAAUAAUAAUAAUAAUAAUAAUAAUAAUAAUAAUAAUAAUAAUAAUAAUAAUAAUAAUAAUAAUAAUAAUAAUAAUAAUAAUAAUAAUAAUAAUAAUAAUAAUAAUAAUAAUAAUAAUAAUAAUAAUAAUAAUAAUAAUAAUAAUAAUAAUAAUAAUAAUAAUAAUAAUAAUAAUAAUAAUAAUAAUAAUAAUAAUAAUAAUAAUAAUAAUAAUAAUAAUAAUAAUAAUAAUAAUAAUAAUAAUAAUAAUAAUAAUAAUAAUAAUAAUAAUAAUAAUAAUAAUAAUAAUAAUAAUAAUAAUAAUAAUAAUAAUAAUAAUAAUAAUAAUAAUAAUAAUAAUAAUAAUAAUAAUAAUAAUAAUAAUAAUAAUAAUAAUAAUAAUAAUAAUAAUAAUAAUAAUAAUAAUAAUAAUAAUAAUAAUAAUAAUAAUAAUAAUAAUAAUAAUAAUAAUAAUAAUAAUAAUAAUAAUAAUAAUAAUAAUAAUAAUAAUAAUAAUAAUAAUAAUAAUAAUAAUAAUAAUAAUAAUAAUAAUAAUAAUAAUAAUAAUAAUAAUAAUAAUAAUAAUAAUAAUAAUAAUAAUAAUAAUAAUAAUAAUAAUAAUAAUAAUAAUAAUAAUAAUAAUAAUAAUAAUAAUAAUAAUAAUAAUAAUAAUAAUAAUAAUAAUAAUAAUAAUAAUAAUAAUAAUAAUAAUAAUAAUAAUAAUAAUAAUAAUAAUAAUAAUAAUAAUAAUAAUAAUAAUAAUAAUAAUAAUAAUAAUAAUAAUAAUAAUAAUAAUAAUAAUAAUAAUAAUAAUAAUAAUAAUAAUAAUAAUAAUAAUAAUAAUAAUAAUAAUAAUAAUAAUAAUAAUAAUAAUAAUAAUAAUAAUAAUAGAGAAGAGAAAAAUUAGAUCUAGGGUUUCUUUCUUUUUCUCCAAUCCAAAAAUCCCCCCUUUUCACAAUAGAUUCCUCCCUUAAAUACUCUCUCUCUCUUCUCCUCUAGAAUUCUAUUUAAAAUAAAAUACUAACAUCUGAAAUAUUAAAUUCGUAAUUACAAAAAUAACCAAAAAUACAAAACACGUUAAACUAAAAACUGCAGGUCCGCAGUUGACAGCACGCGCCCACGCCUUAUCAACAAAGUUCUUCUGACGCUCAUAAUUUCUCCAAGAGAACAAUCAUCCUUAAACAUCAUCUUAUAGCUCAAUUUUAUCAUCAAUCAAUAGAAUUGCACCUACAAAAGUAAAACAUAAGUAAAUCACUAUUAUUAAGUGCAAAACAUUGAUAUUAAGGGAAGUAAAUAAUGCAAAACUAGUGCAUAAAUUGCACUCUAACAGUAAUCAGUAAUCAGCAUUAAAAAUUAAAUUAAAUUAAAUUUUUUUGUUUUUAAUAUUAUUUAGUUAUAGACUUAUUAUUAUAUUUAUUCGUUCAUAAAACUAAAUAAUGUUAAAUCAAAUAAAAUAAUCAGGAAUGGUUCUUAAAAAAUUAAUAUUAUUUAUUUUAUUUUAUUUAAUAUUAUUUAGUCAUAGCCUAUUAUUCUGUUUAUUUUUUGAAAAUUAAAUAAUAUUAAAUAAAAUAGAAUAGAAAAUGUGAGUCCUUAAAAAUAAAAAUUAUUUUUAAUAUUAUUUAUUUUAUUUAAAAGAAUAAAUUUUUUAAUAUUUUUAUUUUAUUAAAAAAUAUUAUUUAAUAUUAUCUAGUCAUAGGCUUAUUAUUAUAUUUCUUCUUUUAGAAAGUUAAAUAGUAUUAAAUGAAAUAAAAUUACAUUUUAGAAGGUCAUUAGCCAAAGCACAUAAACUUAUAAACAAAUGGAAAUAAAAAAGGUAAAUAAUAUUCAAUAAAAUAAAAUUACAUUUUAAAAGGUCACCAACCAAAGCACAUAAUAUUAUAACAAAAAUGUAAAUAAAAAAGAAAGUAAGAGAUUCAAUGAAAUUUAACAUCACAAAAGACAAUUUCAAAAAUUGGGGGUAGCUUGCAACUGUUGCAAAGUGGCUGGUUCCAUAAUUUUGAGAUAAUGUUUCGGUUUCAAAUAUUGUUAUCGAUACCUAAUUAUAAGUAAUAAAAAAAUAUUGUAUAAUUUUUUUACCAACAUUUACAAUACAUUUUAUUUUGAUUUCUGAAAAAAAUAGAUAAAACACAAAUUAAUUAUUUUAACCCUCUAUUCUCUCAAUAUUUAAACUCGAAUAAUCAGUUAAAAGUUGCUCGAGAAUGUUUAAAAGCCAUUUAAGUAUACCACGUCAUUCAUGUUUUGCAAUCAUUCAAUUGUUAAUAAGUUUCCCAUGUGCUGAAAAUAAAUAAAAAUGCACGUGCAUAUGUCAUAUUGUCUCCGAAACCUCACAGCGGAAUGAGUGUAGUACUUGCAAUGCAUGUACUUUAGACUUUGUAUUUCUCUUAUUUAAAUGAUCAAUAAUUUUUCUUUGUCCUUUAAUUAGACGUCAACAGUCGAAGUUGUGGGCAGGUAGUAGGCUAUAUAUAAUAAUUUCCUGGAGAUCUUCCGUCUUCUAAGACAUUGCAAAUGCCAAACGUGAUAACUAUUUUGAUAAUUCAAAUACUACAUAAAAUAUAUGAAGUGUCAGACAAGUCAAAAGAAUUGAUUCUUCACAAUUGUAUAUACGUAUACACACACUUUGCCCAAAUCCCAUUGUAUCCAGGCUGUAAUUUUUAUAUUAAACGAACAUAUUUUAUUUUAUGUCAGCAAUAUUGAUGCAGGCUGGGGGAACAACAGCUUCAGGAUGGUCAACUACCCUUCGGAUCAUUGCAAGUGGGAUGGCAUCACUUGCAAUUCAGAUGGAAGCAUAAUCAGGCUAAAAUUAUCAUGGUGUGAUGUUGACUUCAAAAGGUAAUCUUCGUAAAAUUAUCAUGGUAUAAUAUACGUAUUUAUUUUCGCAUACAUAAAUAAAUAACAAAAUUGUAAUUAAUUGGAUACAGCUUCAGCUUUUGGACUGGUUUGUGAAAAUCAGAAAAAUUUAAAAAUGCUCCUCUUGAACAAUCAAAAUCUACUUUAUACGUGAACAAAGGGGAUGAUUCGUAAAGAUAGUUCAUCAAUGUUUGAUUGCUUUCAAGCGUGUCGAUUACUUUCAGAAAGAAAGACUUCAUUUGAUCUCGUCACAAAACAUAAUUUCACUUUGAAUUUGAAAAAGAAUAAUGAAGUUCAUACAAGUGCUGUUAUGACCUUUUUUUUUUUGUUUUCUUUUUUUCUCGACGUUGUUUUGUGAAUCAUAAGGGUUAAUUUAAUACGGUGGGUUCGCUUGUAUGAAGCGCACUUAUUGUACCAUUCUGUUGCAAGCAAUGAAAAAACGCUAUAAUUUUUUUAAGUUUCUACAAGUAUUAUGUUAUCUUAUAUCUAAAUGUGCAUCUCUAGUCUUUGCUCUCAGUUCAGGUUCUCUAAAAGUAUAUUAAUUAUGAAAAGCAUUAAAGGUUCCGAAACUCUAUUUUGCGGGGAAAAAGAACCUCCAUUUUUGGUUUUUUAUUAUAUGAGAUUUUACUAUGCUCGUAAUAACUUAAUCGAAAUUAAACAUAUCACUGGUCUACAUUUUUUUAUAAGAUUUUGUGACUUGCUAAUUAAGAUGAGUAUCACCAUCAAAUCAACAAGCUUAUACCUUCAAAGAAAAAUAGACUAUAAGUCGGGAGAAAGAAGAAAAAAAAAAAAAAAAGAAUCUUCGCAAUUUAUGCUGUUGGUUGUGAGUUCAUGAAACAAAUAAAAAUAUGAAAUCAAACAUUUAUUCAAAAUUUAAAAUUAAAAAAAAAACUCUAUAUCUACAGUAAUCUGUUCAAACCACAUAGGUGGAGCAAUAUAGUUCCAAGACGUGGUUUUAAAACAUGUCUUUGUGAUAAACAAUAUCGUGAUACUUGCGCCAAUUCCCAUGGCAAUAAUUGCCUACAUUUAUCCAAGAUCCAUGGCCAGGUUUAGAAUGUGCUAGUCUUCUUUCACUUUCAUAAAUAACCACUACUAGGUAAUCAGAGUGUCGGUCUAAAUUUUUCGGAGAUACAACGUCAAUGUAUGUGCCCGGAGUUGAAGCUGAACGCGCUUAAAUAUGUUCGGAAUUUGAAGUUGAACGCCUGGAAAAGGAUGCAGACUGAAGAAAGGCAAUUCCUGGAAUUUGUCUUUGGUAAGAAAACAUGGCUGCUUAUGCCCUUUGAAAGACUGAAGAAACCAAAUUGAUUAUUGCUGCAAUUUAGUGGCACAUGUACGAGGAGAGGCAUCCAAUUAAACUUGUUCAUAAAAGUAUUGCUGAUAGUUGCAGCCGAUCUCCAGACAAAAUCUUCGUACAAUUUUAUCCGCCAGCAAUUUCGACCAAGAGACCUUGAUGCAGUUCAGACCAAUUCGCCAGUUGAACAUCAAGUUGCCUAGGCAUUGAGAAUUAGGUCAAUAAAAUAUAUCCUGGGUCACUUACAAAAGAUGAAAUAAGUGAAAAAGGAAAGAUGACGUAAUAAUUUCUUAGUGAGAAAAGUUAGUUAAUUUGCAAAGGUCUUAGAUAAUCAAUUUGAUGUAAAAAUAUCAAAAUUUUUUUUAAUCAGUGAAAUAUUCAACCUCUAGUUUCAGCACUACAAAUGAAUUAAAUAGAAUAAUGAUAGAUAUUUUAAAAUUUUAUCCCAAAUGAUGUGAUAUGUAAUGUAUCAUUCAUUAAGUAGUUGAUGAUUUUUUUAUAAAUUUUAAGUGGAUUAAUUAUAUUAUUUUACCAACGAGUAAAUAAAUGUCACAUCAUUAGAGAAGAAAUUUUAAGGUAAAACUUUUCAAAUAUAUAUCACUACUCCAUUAAAUAUGGUAUAAAAAAUCUAAUAGGGACCAAAAAUAUAAAAACCCAUUAAAAAUAAAAAAUAUAAAAGUCAAUUCCUAAUUAGAAGAAUGAAAGUUUGUUUCUCCUACAAUCAUUUCACUAGAUUUUAAAUAAAUUAAUUAAUGAAAAUUUUUAAUAACAAAUCGGUGCCUAAACCUAACGUCUUUUUUUUUUUGGUCUUAUCCACGAGGUAUCCUGGGGAGGGCCCCAACUGUGGGAGGCACCUUUAAGCCCGUACCACAACCCAGACUAGAAGUCCCCGCUCGAACCGGGAGGCACAGGUUCUCCCAACAAAGGCGACUUCCCCGCGACUCGAACUGGGGAGCAAACCCAGUCAAGCCACUUAAGGGGACUCCAUUGCCAGUGGAGCCAACACUUUGUUGGUUAAACCUAACGUCUUUGACAGUGCUGCCAAUAUCACUCACAACUUACAAGAAAAUUUUGGUAUUAAAUUUAUUAAUGUUCUCAAGGAAUUUUUAGUUUGACUUUGCAUUCUCAGACCCAUUUGUCACAUAACACGUUAGCAAAGACCUUUAAUGAGAAUAUUAAAACAGCUGUCGAAUAAGCAUCUUGACGACGACUUUUUGACAUAUAUGCAUGCCUCCUUUUGUGAACAAAUUUGAAACAUAAAAGAAAAUUUUGAUCCAUGUGAGAGCUGGAGUAUUUUAUAGCUUUUGACCUCAUUAAUUAUGAGUAAGGGAAUAUUUCUACGUCACUAACGAUUAACAUGAUCACUAUAUAAAGGGAAGCAAAGUAUGUUUAGCAUCAAGUCAGAAAACACAAUUUUUAGGAAAUGGGAACUCUAGGACAGGCGAAGCAAUGGCCUCAAUUGGUUUGUGCUAUGGCAUUUUUGCUCAUAGCCACCACAACCGCAAAGGCAUCAGCUGAUGAUUAUGGCCCAGCACCAUCACCAAAGCAUGCAAAGCACCCUCCAAGCCAUUACAAGCCACCGAAACCACCAAAGCACCACGAGUCACCACCACCAUACUACUAUAACUCACCACCUCCACCAGUACAUUCUCCUCCACCACCUUAUUACUAUAAGUCUCCACCACCACCUUCUCUAUCUCCACCACCUCCUUACUAUUAUAAAUCACCACCACCACCGAAACAUUCUCCUCCACCUCCUUACUACUACAAAUCACCACCUCCUCCUUCUCCCUCUCCACCUCCACCAUAUUAUUACAAGUCUCCCCCACCACCAUCUCCAUCUCCCCCACCGCCUUACUACUAUAAAUCCCCACCACCACCAAAAUAUUCUCCUCCACCACCUUACUACUAUAAGUCACCACCUCCACCAGUGAAAUCUCCACCUCCGCCAUAUUACUAUAAAUCACCACCACCACCAAAACAUUCUCCCCCACCACCUUACUACUACAAGUCACCACCACCACCAAUGCAUUCUCCCCCACCACCUUACUAUUACAAAUCUCCACCACCACCAAAGCAUUCUCCUCCACCACCACCUUAUUACAAAUCACCACCCCCACCACCACCAAAACAUUCUCCCCCACCACCUUACUACUAUAAAUCUCCACCGCCACCAAAACAUUCUCCUCCUCCACCAUACUACUAUAAGUCACCACCUCCACCUGUAAAGUCUCCACCUCCACCACCUCACUACAAAUCACCACCACCACCAAAACAGUCUCCUCCACCACCUUAUUACUACAAGUCACCACCCCCACCAGUAAAGUCUCCACCACAGCCACCAAAGCAUUCUCCCCCGCCACCUUACUAUUACAAAUCACCACCUCCACCAAUGAAGUCUCCACCACCGCCACCUUACUAUAAAUCACCACCACCACCAAAUUCUCCCCCUCCACCUUACUAUUACAAAUCACCACCACCACCAAAGCAUUCCCCCCCGCCACCUUAUUACUAUAGAUCUCCACCACCACCAAAGUAUUCUCCCCCACCACCUUACUACUAUAAGUCACCACCUCCACCAAAGCAUUCUCCCCCGCCUCCUUACUAUUACAAAUCUCCACCACCACCUUACUAAUACAAAUCUCCACCACCACCAUCUCUAUCCCCACCUCCAUCUUCCAUUUACACCGCCACCAUCUACAUCACCUCCACCACCAUCUCCAUCAUUGUCACUAUUGCCUUCCGACUACUCCAUGUGAUCACCACCUCCCGAAGACUUCUAAGUUCAAUGUCCCUUCUUGAAACAAGUUUAAAAUUCAAUAAGAAAAAAUGUGUUCCUUCGGUUGCCCUUUUUAUGAUUUUUUAUGUUAAUGUUUUUAUGAAUAAUUUGUAAGAAGCGUUGGGUGUAUCAUUUGUCAUGUGCAAUAAAAAUUUCUAACUUGAUGUAUCCUAAAAAAAAAGUAUUGUGCCAAAAGAAUUAUUCUAUUGUUUUAUCACAAAUGUGUUGUGGCACAUGUAAUGCGCCUGGAUGAAGUAAUAUUAUGUCUUAAUGAAUAAUCAUGCACAACAGUGAUCAUGUACAUAGUUCUUCCAAUGUCAUGAUAAUGUCCAUGCACGUAAUAAAUAACUUCUUCCUUAUAAUAUCAAAGAAAAUGAAGAUACAAACCUUUUAUUCUCUAAUCAUUUAGUCAAACAAAAUUGUUUUAAUUUAGGUUUUGAUCAAUCUUAAUGCUAAUAAAUUCUAACUACAAAUCAAAUACAAUAUCAGCAAAAAUCAUAUUUUAAAUGAAUCAAAAAACAAACACUAGACUUAACCAAGCAGUUAACCUUUAUUAUUCUCCUCAGCAAAGGAUACAAAGAUGUAGGUAGAUUACAAGUUAUCACUGAAAAAAUAGAAAUCAUCUAAAAUGGUGAACAAAUGAGCUCUAAAUAUGUUGCACUCAUUUGUUCAACUAAGCAAUAGAAUUACCCUUUUCCAUUUUAACUGCUUGUCUGCUUUAGCAUGGCAACUUUAAAUAACACCCUUCAACUUGAAAAUUUUGAAUAACCAGAGCGAUCAAUAAUUGUAAAUCUUGAAAAAAAAAAUUUAGUUUAAUUAAAGCCAUAAACAUAAUAUUAAAUAAAAUGAAAAAAAGGUAGUAAACGUAGUGUUGAACUACUUUAUACUUGUGAACUAACUUUUGAUGUUGAUUAAGAUCAUGGACCCUCAACUUUUGUAUUAUGAAUAUGCUCAUGUCCUAUCUUAGGUCUCCUCUAUAAACCACCUUUUUUUAAAAAAUUAUAUUCAUUAUGAUACUAAGGUACAAGCAGAAGUAAGAUUCCUUUAAUAUUUUUGUAACCAGGAUGUGGCAACCUAGGUGAUACGUGAAUUGGUUUUUUGCACAUUUUGCUAUAUUUUUUUGUGUGUAUGCUUGCUGUUUUUCUCUUUGUUCCAACAAUUUCCACAUGAGGAUAAUCUCAUUUUAACAAAGAAAGAUACCACUAAAUUACUACAAAACAUGAAUUCUAAUAUACUAGAAACUAUUCUUUUUUUUUUUUGCCUUUUCAUAUAUUAGAGUUAUGUUUUUAUCAUCUUAGUGGCAUAUAUGCAUUUUAACUAAAUGAGAAUAUUCUCAUUUCAGAAUUAUUAAUAAGAGAGUAGUAGACAAAUGAUACAAAACUAUGCUGCUUUACUAUUAACAACACAUUCAAUGGAGUAAUGAUAGAGAGUAAAUUCUAACACCACAUGAAAACAAACAAAAGUUGAAAUAUUUUAGCUAAUACGUUUAAAGUUUGAAUUAGUAAUAAAAUUGUCUCAGAAAACUGCCUUAAUGGAAUUAAUGUGAGAUUUAUUGGUCGGUUGUAUCAAUAUCAUUUUCCGGAAAAAAAAAAUUUAGUCAAAAUAUGAAAGGUUUGUUCUGCAAGUGGUUGAUAUUGCUGUACAUUAAUAUCAAAGAUACAUUAAGUUCGUACCAAAUUUUAUUAUAAAAUUCAUAAAUGUAUAAGUAGAAGAUUUUAUAAAUUAAUUCCAGGUAAAACGUCGGUGAUGUGAAUAAAUGGUGAAGAGAAAGCUCUAAUAAUUAUAGUAAUAACAGUGAGAAGCUAGCUCAUCAUCGAGUUGUAAGAUAUAUUUUUGAAUUUUCUUGAACACGCUUUGACGUACGAUUAGCAAAAAAGUCUGUCUAUGAGCAAUCGGUCGUACACAGCUUAACUAAACCAUUGACAUUGUAAUUAAUUGAUGAGCUUUUUCUAAUUUCUAUGAAUCAAAUGCAGAUAUUUAGUGGGCAACUACCAACCCUUGCUUGGCAAAAUAUAGGAAAGAAAAACGUGAAAUUUAUAAAUGUUACAUUUUUUUAGAUGAAUAAUUUUGAGAUAAUGUUUCAGUUUCCGAUAUUGUUAUCUAUACCUAAUUAUAGAUAAUAAAGAAAUAUUUUCUAAUUUUUUUUAUCAACAUUUACAAUACAUUUUAUUUUUAUUUCUAAAAAAAUAGAUAAAGCACAAAUUAAUUAUUUUAACCCUCUAUCUUCACAAUAUUUAAACUCGAAUAAUCAGUUAAAGUUGUUCGAGAAUGUUUAAAUGCCAUUUAAGUAUACCACGUCAUUCAUAUUUUGCAAUCAUCCAAUUGUGAGGAUUCCCAUGUACUGAAAAUAAAUAGAAAUACACAUGCAUAUGUCAUAUUGUCUCUGAACCGCAGAAUGAUUGUAGUACUUGCAAUGCGUGUAUUUUAGACUUUGUCUUUCUCUGAUUUAAAUGAUCUAUAAUUUUCCUUUGUCCUUUAAUUAGAAGUCAGCAGUCAAAGUUGUGGGCAAGUAGGAUAUAUAUAGUAAUUUCCUUGAGAUCUUCUGUCUUCUAAGACAUUGUAAACACCAAACGUGAUCACUAUUUUGAUCAUUCAAAUACUACAUAAAAUAUAUGAAAUGUGAGACAAGUCAAAAGAAUUGAUUCUUCACAAUUGUAUAUAGUAUUAUUUGAUUCUGCCUCCCACCUAUACACACACACACACACACACACACACACACACAUAUACCCUGAGCAGGAUUUACAUUUUGUCUUUACAUUUUCCACAACGCCUUUAAUUUUUACAGUGAUUAAAAAAGGCCAAAAUAUUGAUGUAUUACCUCCAACUACUAUUUAGACUUUGUUCAAAUCCCAUUGUAUCCAGGCUGUAAUUUUUAUAUUAAACAAACAUAUUUUAUUUUAUGUCAGCAAUAUUGAUGACAAGAUCACUAUAUAAAGAGUAGCAACUAGGUUGUUUAUACAAGUCACAAAACAUAAUUUCACUUUGAAUUUUAAAAAGAUUAAUGAAGUUCAUACAAAUGCUAUUAUGGAUUUUUUUUUCUUUGGACGUUGUUUUGUGAAUCAUAAGGGUUAAUUUAAUAAGGUGGGUUCACUUGUAUAAAGCGCACUCAUUUUACCAUACUGUUGCAAGCAAUGAAAAAACGCUAUAAUCUUUUUAAGUUUCUACAAGUAUUAUGUUAUCAUAUAUCCAAAUGUGCAUCUGUAUUCUUUGCUCUCAGUUCCGGUUCUCUAGAAGUAUGUUAAUUAUGAAAAGCAUUAAAGGUUCCAAAACUCUAUUUUGCGGGGAAAAAGAACCUCCAUUUUUGGUUUUUUAUUAUAUGAGGUUUUACCGCGCUCGUAAUAACUUAAUCGAAAUUAAACUUAUCACUGGUCUAUAUUUUUUAUCAGAUUUUGUGACUAACUAAGAUGAGUAUCACCAGCAAAUCAACAAAGCUAAUACCUUUGUCUACUCGUUCAAAGGAAAAUAGAGUACAAGCCGGGAGAGGGGGAAAAAUGCUUAGCAAUUUAUACUGUUGGUUGCGAUAUCAUGCAACAAAUAAAUAUAUGAAAUCAAACAUACAUCCAAAAUUUAAAGUAAAAAAAAAAAAUCUAAAUCUUGAGUAAUCUAGCUGAAAUUCUGUUCAACCCACAUAGGUGGAGCAAUAUAGUUCCAAGACUUGGUUUUAAAACAUGUCUUUGUAAUAAACAACAUCAUGAUGCUUGCGCCAAUUCCCAUUCCGAUAAUUGCCUAUAUUGAUCCAAGAUCCAUGGCCAGGUUUAGAAUGUGCUAGUAUUCUUUCUCUUCCAUAAAUAACCAUUACUAUGUAAUCGGAGUGCGGUCUAAAUUUUUCGGGGAUAAAACGUCAAUGUAUGUGCCGGAAGUUGAAGCUGAAUGCACUUAAAUAUGUUCGGAAUUUGAAGUUGAACGCCUGAAAAAGGGUGCAGACUGAAGAAAGGCAAUUCCUGGAAUUUUUUUUGGUAAGAAAACAUGACUGCUUAUGUCCUUUGAAAGACUGAAGAAACCAAAUUGAUUAUUGCUGCAAUUUAGUGGCACGUGUACAAGGAGAGGCAUCCGAUUAAACUUGUUCAUAAAAUUAUUGCUGAUAGUUGCAGCCGAUCUCCAUGAAGUACAAACCCAACGCAAAGAAACAAAGUGUUCGUACAAUUUUAUCCGCCAGCAAUUUCGACCAAGAGACCUUGAUGCAGUUCAGACCAAUCACCACUUGAGCAUUUGUUAGGAAAUUGGUGGAUGAAGCAGACACGCAUCUAAAAUAAAAUUGGAAGAAAAAUAAAGAACAAGCACAAAAAGGACACCAAGAAAUUACGUGGUUCGACUUUUAGCCUACGUCCACAGACGAAUACAGAAGGAAAAUAUUUUACUAGUGAAAAGAAGUUACAAGUAUUGUGAUAUUUUAACUCACUACCCAAAAUCUCAAUACACCCAAACUCUCAAAACACUAAUCACUCAAGAGUUUAUUAAACUCUUAAUACUCUCAAUUUCCUAUAGGAAGGAAAUGCUUCUCUCUCGAUGGAAUGCUUCAGCUCUUCAUCUGCACUUCUAUUUAUAGAAAAAUAAUGGCCAAGAAAUCAACGAUUUUAGCCCAACAAUUAUGGCUUCAAUUUCGUCAAUCUGUGUGGCUUCAAUUUUGUCAAUCUAGCGUUCAAAAUUUGUGGGUUGUGUUCUCCAUUUUCUUUGAUUUGCUGGCACCAAAGUCAAGUACCAAAUUUGGUGCUGACUUUUAGGUGUUUGCUUUGACAUUCUCCCACUUGGAGAUUAAAUUGAAAAUUAAUCAAUCUCCACACCAUCCUUUCUAUUUCGUCAUAAUCAUGUUGCCUACAUUUCUGCUAGGCCAUAAGAGGAUCUACUUCAGACAAACUUGUCAAUAUUUAUUGGCUUGGUCAAAACAUCUGCUAGGUCUUCCACUACUUCUCGAAUGAAGUGAUACUGACUUCCUAUAUGCUUUGUCCUGGAAUGAAAUACUGAAUUUCUUGCAAUAUGCAAGGCACUCUAACUGUCACAAUACACAUAAAAUUUCUCUUGUUUGUACCCGAGCUUCUCCAAUAACCUUUGUAUCCAGAUAGCUUCCUUGUAAGCUUGUGUAGCUGCCAUGUAUUCUGCUUCUGUUGUAGAUAAAGCCACAACGAUCUGCAGUUUCGAAACCCAGCAUACAACUCCUCCUGCAAGUGUAAACACAUAACCAGUAGUUGAUUUUCUUUUAUCAAUGUCUCCUACAAAAUCUAAAUCCACGUAGCCCCUAAUAGUAAAUUCUUAUCCUCCAUAACAUAAUAUAACAUCUGAGGUUCCUCUGAUAUAUCUCAGAAUCCUCUUUACAGCUAUUCAAUGCUCUCCACCACGAUUCGCCAUGUAUCGACUGACUGCUCCCACUGCUUGUGCAAUGUCUAGUCUAGUACAUAUCAUAGCGAAUAUCAAACUUCCCACUGUUGAUGCAUACGGUACUCGAGACAUCUCCUUCCUCUCUGCUUCAUUGUUAGGACACAUACUUGAGGAUAAUUUGAAAUUAACAGGAAGUGGGGUAGAAAUUGGCUUACGAUACUGCAUGUUGAAGCGUCACAAGAUUUUCUUCAAGUAGUUCUUCUGAGAAAGCCAAAUCUUCAUGUUAUUUCUGUCUCGGUGAAUUUACAUCCCUAGAAUCUUGUUUGCUGAUCCCAAGUCCUUCAUUUCAAACUCUCUAGCUAAUUGUGCCUUCAAUUCUUGGAUUCGAUCUUUGUUAAGGCCUGCUACCAACAUGUCAUCCACAUACAAUAGCAAAAUAAUGAAAUCAUUAUCUUCAAACCUUUUGUAAUAUUCACAAUUGUUUGAACUGAGUCUGUUGUAUCCAAGGCUCAUGAUAAAGGAAUCAAGUCUCUUAUACCAACAUCUCGGCGCCUGUUUGAGAUCGUAUAGAGAUUUGUUCAACCUGCAAACCAAAUUUUCCUUUCCUAUUUCUGCAAAACCUUCUUAUUGGAGCAUAUAUAUUUCUUCUUCAAGUUCUCUAUGAAGAAAUAUAAUUUUCACAUCCAACUGCUCAAGAUAUAAGUCAAAUGUAGCACACAUCGCUAAGACUACUCUGACUGUUGUGAGUCGAACUACCAGAGAAAAUAUCUCGUUGAAGUCAAUACUUUCUUUUUGAACAUAUCCUUUCACCACCAAUCUUGCACGAUACCGUUCCACUUGGUCAUUGCCAUCACGUUUGAUCUUAUAGACUCAUUUGUUUCCAAUAAUAUUUCUUCUACGUGGUAGUGGUACAAGUUCCCAUGUCUUGUUCUUGUGUAGAACCUCAAUUUCUUCCUGCAUUGCUGUCAUCCACAAAGUAACAUCUGAGCUGUUUAAAGUUUCAUGGAAAUUUGAAGACUCUCCAUCCUCUAUUAGAAGACAGUAAGCAAUAUUGAUCUCUGUGACAUACUCCGAGUGCCACACUAGCGGUUGUCUCUCACGAGUUGACUGACGAACUUCUGGAGCCUCGGACUCGACUGGUUCUUGUUCCUCGUGCUCUGGUGCUGCUUUAGAAGAAUCUGAAUCUUCUGGAUUAUUUUCCACGUAUACCUGCACAAUCUCUAACUUUUCUUUUACAGUGCCAUCAUCUCAAUCUUUCCUUUGCAGAUGAUCUUCUACAAAAAUAACAUCUCUGCUAAUGACGAUCUUGUGGGCAGUGGGGUCCCACAGACGAUACCUCUUUACUCCAUCAGCAUAUCUCAAUAAGAUACAUCUUCUAGAUUUUGGAUCUAGCUUUAUUCUUUCUUGGGCAUUGUAUAUCACGUACACGAGACAUCCAAAUGCAUGUAGGUAUGAGUAAUCAGCUGGCUUUCCAGUCCACAUCUUCAUCGUUGUCUUCAGCCCAAUUGCUAUAGAUGGUGACCGAUUUACUAUAUAACAGACAGUUUUGGCUGCUUUUGCCCAGAAUGAAUUAGGUAAACCAGCAGUCCUUAACAUAUCUCUUAUUCUUUCUGUAAGAGUUCUGUUUAUCCACUCUGCCACUCUGUUUUGUUGAGGAGUGUAUGCUAUCAUGAACCGCCUCUGAAUACCUUCUUGCUUACAGAAAGCAAGAAACUCGUCGUUUGUAUACCCUCCACCAUUAUCUGUCCUCAAGCACUUGAUCUUUUUACCAGAUUUAAGUUCCACCCGCGCUUUGUAUUCUUUAAACACUAGAAAAACAUCUGACUUUUUCUUAAUUAGAUACACCAACAUUUCCUAGAAUAAUCAUCAAUGAAAGUCACCAGUACUUUGCACCUCCUAUGGACAUAUCCGGUGAUUCCCAAACAUCAAAAUGAAUCAAGUCUAAAAUGCAGUUACUUCUAGCAACAGAUCUACAGAACUUUAAUCUAUACUGUUUACUUAUAACACAAUGCUCGCAAAAUGGUAAACUUACCGAUUUGAGCCAUGGAAGCAAUUUUCGCUCAGAGAGAAUCUUCAAACUUUGUUCCAACAUGUGGCCAAGUUUGAGGUGUCACAUCAUCGUUGAUUCUUCUCCAUUUGACGCGACACACACAUCAGCCUCCUAUAGUGUUUCUCCUUUAAGCAUGAAUAGAUUAGCAUCGAUCUUUUCUGCCUUCAUCAAUACAAGCGUGCCUUUAACGAUCUUUAUAAUUUCAUUCUCUAUAUGAGUUUUGUACCCAUGGCUAUCCAUUUGUCCCAAAGACAAUAGAUUUUUCUUCAUGCCGUUAACAUGUCGUACUUCCCCAAUUGUGCGAAUUGUACUAUCAAAUAUUUUUAUUUUGAUAGUACCAAUACCAGCGAUCUCCAAGGCAUGAUCAUCUCCCAUAUAUACAGAUCCUCCUGAGAUAGGUUCAUAUAUGAGGAACCAUUCUCUCCGAGAGGUCAUGUGCUAGGUAGCUCCUGAGUUUAUAAGGCAGACAUCAGAUAAUUGUUUUCUGCCUUCUGAAACAGUUGUUGCCUCGCUGUAGAGAAUUUUGCCAUCAUCUGAGGUACUUGCUACACACCCCUGAGCAUUUUAUAACUCGGGUUCUUUGCCUUCUUUUCUCUUCUGAUUACUCCAACACUCUUUCUUGAUGUGCCCUUUCUUACCACAGUUGUAGCAUUUAACAUUCUUCUUACUUCUGGAUUUUGAUCUACCAUGAUUGUGACUCCCACUGGGACCACGUUCCAUUGAUCUCCCUCUCGUCACUGAUAGCGCCUCCGCUUGCUACGAACUUGCUUGUCUGUUUUCUUUAUUUUUUUUGUCUGCUCUCCUCAUUUAAUACGGAGGCUGCAACAUCGUCGAAAACCAGACUAUCCGCUGGAUUUUUGUUCGUCAUGUUGAUGAUGAGUUGAUCAUAUGAAUCUGGUAGACUUUGAAGUAGAAGCUCUGCACGUUCAUUUGCCUCUAUAUUAUGACCCAACGUUGUGAGUUGUGAAAAUAGAGUCUUCAAGGUGUUGAUGUGUCAUUCGAAGAGUAUAGAGUUUCCUCUUCGAAGAGUAUAGAGUUUCCUCUUCAAGAAAUAAAUUUAUCAAAGAUAAAAUGGAGACAAAUGUAAAUAAAAAAAAAUGAAAAAGCAAUAAAUUAUUGAAGUUGUUUGUGAGUUUAUUCGACAGAUAAUGGAUGCGUAUGCCUUACCUGCUAUUAAGAUUAAUUAGCUUCUUCAUUAACCGAAUACGAAAUAUUGAGGGGGAAAAAAACACAUAAUUGAAUCUUGAUUAAGCUAAAAGAAAUAACUCUGUUCAACCCACAUAGGGAGAGCAAUACGGCUACUAGACUUAUCCAUAAAAUGGGGGACAAUACUAUCAUCUCGAAUAUCAUAGAUUCCCAUGUUCUUACCGUUUACUUUCCAUUUAUCAGUGAAUUGUAUUUCUACUUGAGAACAAUCAGUAAAGUAUAUGCAAUUUCGUUCGCAGAUCGAGGAGUCCAAUAUUUCAAUAGAAAAAGAAGAAUUAAGACCCAAGAAGAGUGCUCUAUUUCCCAAAUCCUUGACCUUCGUCCAUGUAUUAGUGGUUAAAUCCACCUCAAAAACCUGAAACUUAUUCGCUCUACUUCGUGUGACAACCACCAAUGCCCCUCCAGAUUCUACCAAAUAUAGUAUUGAAGAGGACAUAAGUAACGAGAUUGACAUCCGUGCCACAACAAUCAAGUUAUUAGGAACGUGACCAGUAAAAUCACAAACAAAUAUAUAACCGAGCCAAUUUAUAGCAUAAAACCUGCCUUUGUGAUAAAUAACAUCAUGAAACCUGUACCAAUUCCCAGUGUCUACAGUGAUCCAAGUUUCUUGGCCUGGUUUAAAAUAAGCUAGUCUUCUUUCACUUCCACAAACAACCAUUACCGUAUAAUCAGAGUGUCGCUCCAAAUUACUCGCAGAAACAACAAAUUUUUUGAAGAAGAAGGGAUGGUCGACGCAAUAUUCCCAGGGCAUAAACGUACGUAUGUUCGGAAGUUCAAGUUGAACCCAUGAAAAGGAUUCAAAAGACUUGCAUUUAGAUUUUGAACAUGGAGUCUCAGAAGCCAACCCUUGGAAGAAAGGCAGUUCCUGUGGGAAUUUGCUUCUGGUAACAAAAUACGGCGGCUCAUGCCCCUUGACAGACUGAAGAAACCACGUUGAUUAAUAUCGCCGCAAUUUAGUGGCAUAUGCAUAAGGAGAGGCAUCUGAUUAAACUUGUACAUAAAUUUUUUGAUAGCUGCAGCCCAUCUCCAUGAAGUACAAACCCAACGAAAAGAAACAAAAUCCUCGUACAAUUUUAUCCGCCCAGCAAUUUCGACCAACAGAUCAUGAUGAAGUUCCGAUCGACCAAUUCGCCAUUUCAGAGGCCACUCGACUAGAGAUUAAUUGAAAUACCCUAACCCCUUAAGACUAAUCUCGCUCUCUCUCUCUUGUUGAAAAUUGAGUAAAAAAAAAAAGAGAGUUGAAAAGUCAAUUUGGAAGAUAUCAUUUGAAUUCAAUUUGGAGAUAGUCGAGAAGUUUGAUAAGCAAUUAGAAGUGGUCAAAACUAUUGAAAUGGUGGCUAUUGAAUGUUGAAAAAUUGGCUUGAUUUUAGGCAAAAUCUUGCCUAUAAAAGGAAGCUCUCAUUUGAGAGCUUGGCAUCCCAAAUCCCAGAGAUGGAAUCCAAGUUUUGGUGAGAAAUUAAGAGGGAGAAAUAUUCUUAAGCAUGUAGUUAUAUUGAAGGAGCAUUUGGCUCCUCAAUACAGGUAUUAUGGGUUUGCUUUGUUAAGGGAUAUUUCUCAAGAUUAUGUAUUUGGGGCUUGGGUGAGAGAAAAUUUAUGAGAGUGUGGUUGUAAUAAUUUUCCACAUAGUGAAUAUUUUUUUUUCUCUGGUUGUCUUGUGACAACGGCCGUGGUUUUUCUCCGGAUUUAGAGUUUUCCACGUAAAUCUUGUGUUGUGUGAUUGGUAUAUUCUCCAUUCAAUUUUUCUUAUUAAUUUGUUGCUUGAUAAAUUGCUUGGAGAGAUCUUGGGAGGAAACUCAAUUUCCUAACAGUGGUNNNNNNNNNNNNNNNNNNNNNNNNNNNNNNNNNNNNNNNNNNNNNNNNNNNNNNNNNNNNNNNNNNNNNNNNNNNNNNNNNNNNNNNNNNNNNNNNNNNNNNNNNNNNNNNNNNNNNNNNNNNNNNNNNNNNNNNNNNNNNUUUUGGCACCUCAAGAAAAUUGUCAAGAAGGUGGAGUGGGCUCGGUAAAUUACUCCAGAAUCAGUAAAGGAGAUAAUGAUAUUCUCGUAGAUAGUGAGUUUCCUUUUGAUAGGAGAUUGGGUUAGUUCUUUUGGCAUGUAAAUCUCCAAGUUGCCAUGAAAGAGAACAUGCUAUGAUCAGCGGGGUACACAAGUUUGCACGCGGGCAUUGGCUUGGUAUAAAUGCAAGGUGUGUGAUGGAAAAGUUAUGUCAUGGCUGAAGAAUUCUCAGGGAAACCAAGCAUGAGAAUUGCACCAUAAUUUUCAGCGGAUAUGUUCGACAUGUGCCGAAAAAAAAAAAUCUUAGAAUGGUUAAUUCUAAGUGUUAUACUCUUUAUGGUGGAGUAUGAUAAUUCUCUAUGUUGAGAAUUAUGACUGUUGGUGAAGACAGUGCUUUGUAACAUUAGUUAUGAAUUUUUUUUUUUUUUUUUAUCAAGGUGGAGAUUGUUGAAAAUUGAUUAAAAAAAAAAGAGUUGAAAAGUCAAUUUGGAAGAUAUCAUUUGAAUUCAAUUUGGAGAUAGUCGAGAAGUUUGAUAAGCAAUUGGAAGUGGUCAAAACUAUUGAAAUGGUGGCUAUUGAAUGUUGAAAAUUUGGUGAGAAAUUAAGAGGGAGAAAUAUUCUUAAGCAUGUAGUUAUAUUGAAGGAGCAUUUGGCUCCUCAAUACAGGUAUUAUGGGUUUGCUUUGUUAAGGGAUAUUUCUCAAGAUUAUGUAUUUGGGGCUUGGGUGAGAGAAAAUUUAUGAGAGUGUGGUUGUAAUAAUUUUCCACAUAGUGAAUAUUUUUUUUUCUCUGGUUGUCUUGUGACAACGGCCGUGGUUUUUCUCCGGAUUUAGAGUUUUCCACGUAAAUCUUGUGUUGUGUGAUUGGUAUAUUCUCCAUUCAAUUUUUCUUAUUAAUUUGUUGCUUGAUAAAUUGCUUGGAGAGAUCUUGGGAGGAAACUCAAUUUCCUAACAUCUCUCUCUAUCUAUAUAUAUAUAUAGUGUAUGUUAACUAGAAAACCUUUUUCAAAUCGGAGGCGUACAAAAAAUUAACAUAGUAAUUUUGUACAUUGCGACAAGAAUCUAGUUAUGAAUUCUACUAAAAUCAGGAAAAGCAAGUCAAUUCCAAAUAGAACAAGAGUGGUAAAAUUGAAAUAACAAAAGUACUAUUCAAAUAAGAAAACUAGUAUGGGCUUGUAUGUAUCUGUCAAUUGGAUUCGGCCAAUAGCCAGUGCACGACCCACCAAAACUAGUGGGCAAUGAUCUCGUUAGCCAUUAUGGUUCUGUCAAUUAUACAUUAUGUGUUAGAUUGAAGACGUAGAAAAGGUGAACUUAAUGAGGAAAAAAGAAAGAAAGAAAGAAAGACGUCGUAAUAAUUUCUUUGUAAUGCUGCUAACCUAAGAUAAAUUGAAUCAAAUAGAAAUAGAACUGGGGUACGUGUGGUUGAGCUUGCUUUUGUUAAAUGGACAUCUCGUUCCCCUCUAAAUAUUCCCCUCUUGCCAUGUUUGCUCGCGGUGAAUUUUGUCAAAUUCUUUGGUUCUUUUCGAACCAGAGACGUGAAAAAAGAUUAAAUAAAUAAAAAAUAAUCAUAAUUUCAUUCUGUUAUUCCACAUUAUAUUUAGUUAUAGUAGGAUAAGGUCAAUCAAGUCAAAUCAAUCAUGAGUUUCAUUUGACUGGAUACUUGAGUUCUAACCCCCUUAAAAAAUAAAAAUGUCAAAAUAUGAAUAGUUUCUAUAUAUUGCUCAAGGAAAAUCAAGAGAAAAAUUAGAAUCAAUCAAGCACGGAGAAUUGCAAGGAGAAUAAUGGAUACUUAAACAAUAUACUGUUUUUAAUUACAAUAUAAUCUCCAAUGAUCUUAGAAACAAAUAAUUACUUAUGAAGCAUUGCAAGUAGUUUAUGUUGAAGUAAAAUAGAAACGUAAUUAAGAAUGAAAAAUACGUCAACAUUGUAGCUGCUUCUAAUUUUAGGCAGCAAAAUAAAUUUGAAAUCAAAUAUACAAACCAAUUUUUUUUAAAAAAAUAAAAUCUAAUCGUAAGUAAGCUAACUAAAAUAAUUAUGUUCAAGCCACAUGGAGAGAGCAAUACGGCUACUAGACGUACCCGUAAAAUGUGGGACAAUGCUACCGCGUCCAAUGCCGUAGAUUCCCAUGUCCUUGCCCUCAUUGGAGCCCCUUUCUACUUGACAAUCAUCAGUGAAAUAUGCCCCUCCUGAUUCUACCAAAUAUUACCGCUGCCCCAACGAAGACCAAGACAUUUAACACUUGUGCCAUAACCGUCAAAUUAAAUUAGAAUCCUCAGCACUAAAAUCACAAACAACUAUCCGCCCACACUUAGCUACAGCUAGAAUAAAACUUAUCUUUGUGACAAAUAACAACAAGCCUCUCCCAUUCCAAGUGUGUACACUGAUCCAAGAUUUUCGGCCUUGUUGGAAAUAACCAUUACUAUGUAAUCAGAGUUUUCCAGGUUACUCAAUGACACAAUAAAUCGUUUGAAGAAAAUGGAUUGGUGAUCUCGUUGAGGAAAUUCCCUAUAUUAUUACUACAACGUGUUCUAAAUGUGGUCGGAAGUUGAAUUUGAACACGUUAGAAAGGAUGCAAAAGAGACUUACAUUGCAAUUUCGAGCGUCAAAUGUUAGAAGCCAACCAUUUGAAGAAAGGCAGUUCCUGCAGGAAUUUGCUUCUGAUAACAAAACACGGUCGCUUAUGCCUUUGAAAGACUGAAGAAACCACAUUUGCUAUUGCUGCAAUUUAGUGGCAGAUGCAUAAGGAGAUGCAUCUGAUUAAACUUGUUCUUUUAAAUGUCAUUAUAUUCAGUUGUUAUUUUGUUUUGUUGACAAUAAUUUGUUUAGGUGUCAGUUAUUUAGGACCUAGUCAAGUAAGUGGUGGACUUAGUCUACGACUUGGUAGGAAUUAUUGCCCACUUACCUUUUUUUCAUGCUUAGAGUUGCCUGUCUUUAGGAAUAACCGUUGUCUUUUUGUUUAUAAAGGUUCAGUAAAUAAAGAUGCAUAGGUAACUCUGAAUUUGAACAACACCGGUGUGUUUCACAGGGAGGUGCAGGGUCUCUCGAACGAUUCUGAUUUAUUUUCUUGCUUUCCUUCUUAAAUAUUUCAUCUUGCAUCCAAAAUGUUAGGCAGGACUAACAAGACUGAUUCAAGCUCGCUGUACCAUGUUCGUAAAGCUGUUGAUAGUGCCAGCCAAUCUCCGUGAAGUACAAACCCAACAAAAAGAAACAAAGUCUUCAUACAAUUAACUAUUUGAAGAAUAAAUGUGACAUUUUAAUUGGAAAAUUAACUAAUUGAAGCCAAGAUCUAGAUCCAGUGGUAAAGUGCAAUUUUUAUAGAUUUCAAGUUUUGCGUUUGAAUUUGAAUGGGUGAGUAAAUUAAUAAUAAUAAUAAAACAAAUUAACUAGUUUUAAUCUACAGAGGUCUUAGAUCAUCAAAUAAUGAUAGAACCUCGAAUUUCAUAAAUUUUAAGUUGAAUGAUUACAUUAUUUCACCAUCUAGUGAAUAAAUGCCAAAUUAUUUAAGAAAAAUUUUGAAAAUAAAAUUUUGAGAUAUAUAUCACUACUCAAUUAAAUGUAGUAUAAAAAAUACAUCAGGGACCAAAAAUAUAAAAAUCCAUUAGAAAUUAAAAAAAAAUAUAAAAGUCAAUUUCUGAUUAGAAGAAUUAAAAUAUCAUUCUCCUAUAAUCAUUUCACUAGAUUUUAUAUAUAUUUAUUACAGCAAAAUUAAAAUAAAAAAUUGGCACCUAACCCUAACGUCUUUGACAUUGCUACCAAUAUCACUCACUCACAACUUACAAGAAUGAAUCUAGACUUAAUUUUCCCAGGGAAUUUUUAGUUUGACUUUACAUUUUCAGACCCAUUUGCCACAUAACACCUUAGUUGGUUAACAAAGCCCUUUCAUGAGAAUAUUAAAACUGCUGUCGAAUAAGCAUCUUAACAACCCCUUUUUUGACAUACAUGCAUGCCUCCUUAUGUGAAGAAAUUUGAAACAUAAAAGAAAAUUUCAAUCGAUGUGAGAGUUGGGAGUAUUUUAUAGCUUUUCUCCUCAUUAAUUAUGAAUUAAGAGAAUAUUUCUACGUCACUAAUGAUUAAAAUGAUCACUAUAUAAAGGGUAGCAAAGUAUGUUUAACAUCAAGUCAGAAAACACAAUUUUAAGGAAAUGGGAACUCGGGGACAGGCGAGGCAAUGGCCUCAAUUGUUUUGUGCUAUGGCAUUUUUGCUUAUAGCCACCACCACCAAGGCAUCGGCUGAUGAUUAUGCCUCAGCACCACCACCAAAGCAUUCUCCUCCACCUCCUUACGACUACAAAUCACCACCUCCUCCUUCUCCCUCUCCACCGCCACCAUAUUAUUACAAGUCUCCCCCACCACCAUCUCCAUCUCUUCCACCGCCUUACUACUAUAAAUCACCACCUCCACCAAAAUAUUCUCCUCCACCACCUUACUACUAUAAGUCACCACCUCCACCAGUGAAAUCUCCACCUCCGCCAUAUUACUAUAAAUCACCACCACCACCAAAACAUUCUCCCCCGCCACCUUACUAUUACAAGUCACCACCACUACCAGUGCAUUCUCCCCCACCGCCUUACUAUUACAAAUCUCCGCCAACACCAAAGCAUUCUCCCCCGCCACCUUACUACUACAAAUCUCCACCACCACCAAAACAUUCCCCACCACCACCUUACUACUAUAAGUCACCGCCUCCACCAGUAAAGUCUCCACCACCGCCACCAAAGUAUUCUCCCCCACCACCUUAUUAUUACAAAUCACCACCUCCACCAGUGAAGUCUCCACCUCCGCCAUACUAUUAUAAAUCACCACCACCACCAAAGCAUUCUCCCCCGCCAC